rnacentral:lncRNA from 1 species
UUUUUUUUUGUUCUCUCAAUAUAACUAGAGGUAAUGAAUAAAAAACAACAGUUGUGCAUGAAGAACAGGAACGGGGAGGGGGGGGGGGUGGUUACCAUCGAAAUGGCGGCAUGGGUAAGUUGGAGAACAUCCAAGCAAGCAACAACUCUACCAUCUAUUCAUGGAGAAGUAAAAUUCUGUUAGUUACAAAAAAAAACAAGGAACUCUUAGACUAGAAGAGUCAAGUUUUACCUCCAUCAACAACAGGAAUAUGCAGGAAUUUGCCAUCAUGCAUUAUAUGUAGAGCGUCAAGAAUUGAGGUGUCCAAUGUAGCACAAUCGGGAUGUGCAGUCAUUACCUUGAGCAGUAUGGUAAAUAACACUCAGUCUAGAAUGAAUUACAUAAAGCUUCACAGCAUUUCAAAACAGGACUGGGAGUUAUAAACCUUUUCAACUAGAGUUAAUUCAGGAGAAAGAUUUUGUGCCACAACACGCAUAAGAACAUCCUUUGAGCUGAAUUCCACAAUAACACACCCAUUAAUAGCUCGGUAAGAAACAUAAAAAGAAAACAACAAAUAAAAAAUUUAUAGAAAAAUUAGGGCAGUGCUUACGUAAAGAUCCCUUGCAACGAAUUUCCGUUAGUUAUAACAACUGAAUUGACGCGUAGUUCACGCAUUUUUUGGGCUGCUACAUAAACAGGAUCUGAAAGUGAAACCGUUGCUACUCUGCAAGUUAAUAGAAGAGGUAGCUCUUGUCAUCCAAAUCACCAUUUUGCUAACAACCAACCAAGAAAAAUGAAUAAGAGAAGACAGAUAAUUACUUUGUGUUUUCUGUGAUAAUGGUUGACAAAGAAGGUUUGAACAUCCUUUCUCUUAGAGUUUCUAUUAAAGCGUAAGGAGCUGUAACCACAAAUAGUCAAAAUAUUAGUUUGGUCAGCAACACAUGACUAAGAGAAAACUGCUAAUCAGGUACAAUUAUUAGGAAAAGUACACAUAUCAACCAAGAAAGACAUGGUUCCAACUUUAAAGUUGUUCUAUGACAUGUAAAAGAAACUUGCUAUUAUUAACUAUGCACAAAUAUAGUUCACAUAGCCACAACAUACAUGUUCUAUUACUUCUUAUUUGUGCACCAUCAUGUAAAUCAAUAAAAAAGAAAGAGUUAGCCGGCACAGGCUACAACACAAGACCUGUGAAGUUGCCUCCUAAUUGGCGCUCAACCCCUUCUACAGCAGCUGCAAGUGCACUUCCUUGUUCUGCUGCCUUUUCCAGUCUUGAUAUUGCAUCAUACAUGCAUUUUGCAAUAUCCAGCAUGGCGAUAACCUCACCAUUUUCAACCACUGGAAGGUGUCUAAAUUUCCCUGAAACCAGAAAAUACCAUGUUAAUUUCCAUGAGAGGAUGCAAACGUCUCUAGAAGUAAGCUUUAUGUGAAGAACAUGAGUACACUCAUCAUCAACAUACAUACAUCUGUCCUCACAAAGCUAAAGAAAAUUAGAUAUGUAACCACAUCUAAAACACCCAUUUAAAAUUUCAUCAGAAGAAAAAUAGAGCUAGUCCUUUCAUUAGGCCACUUUUCAGUUGGAAAUUUCAAAUAUAUACAGAUUUAUUAAGGUGUCUCCAAGUUGUAACAAUCAGAACGCACCAAAUAGUUCACCUCGAACCAUAAUUCAUAAACAUGUUAGUUCCUAAUGUUUCAAUUACUUCUUUAUUAAUAUGUCAAUUAAUAUUCUCAGUAUACACAAAUCACUAGGAUUUUCUACUGGUCAUAUUUCUCCCAGUUUCUUUUGUAGAAUCUUAACUUCUCGAAAAUUAUAACUUUGUUGGUUUUUUCGCCAUUCAUGAUAUGAGUUUUGAAUCCAGAUCCAUCUUCUUAGGAGUUAUGACUACUAAAUGCUAAUGCAUAGGGGAUUGAAGCUUUGCAUAGGCUAAACCUUUAAAAAAAUAAUCCUAGAGAUUUUUUUUUUAAAAAAGCAGUGAGAAACCAAAUAACGAAAAAACUCAGAGUUAUUGCAAUAACAUAAUAGGACGAGAAAUAUGGAAUAUUUUUAGGUAAAACUUAACAAACUCUAAGAAAUGAGAAAAAAUGGGAGGAGAAUAGUUAAUGCAGGGUCUUUGACUCUUGCUUAACCAGUCUGAAAGAGGGAAUGCAUUGUAAGCUGUGACGCUGAAAGAUCUUGCUGUCGAUUCAAUAUCUUAAGGGACUAAAUUAUGGCAAGUGGAAAAGAGACAUGCAACAAGCUGAAAGUUUACUGAUCAUUAUGGCAACAAUUACCUUGGACCAUUUUCUGCAGUGCCUCGAUAGCAAGUGUGUCAGACGAAACAUACAGAGGGUUUCUGGUCAUGAUCUUGGAGAUGAUUGUGUGCUCAACGCGCAGCCCCUCGGCAAUAACCCUUGUGGCUACGUCCUAUAUCAGAAUACAGAAGAAAAAGAAGAAAAAGCAGAGCAUGUCAUUCAUCUCAGAAAUUCUAAACUGGCAGUAACCAUUUCACAUGUAGCAGUCACAGAGACUGCUGAACCAGUUCCAGAAAUAUGGUUGCACACAUUCAUGCAUCAAUGAAUCAAAUCAGCUUACAGACCUUUACCAGAUAUAGACUAAAACCACUGUUCCUAAACAUCCCCCUUUUAAAUCCAAAAUAAGUGAAAACAAGCAUACAGCAUCAGUUUGAAAUUCGAAGCAUUACUCAUUAAACAAGAACAAAGGAACACAAACAUAGUCCAGUCAUAAACUAAAGCUGUACUAUUAAAUAACAAUCAAAGUACCCUAGACAAGCCAUUACUCUAGCCACUCAUUGCAUGCAGAGUUACAGACACAAGCAAUCUUUAUUAGGGCACGUAGAGUACAGUUGAAGACAGCCCACUGUUAGUACCUAGAAAUACCCUACCAUUCCAUUCGAGCUCGAAAACCACUAGACAACAACAGGCAACGAGGAUCCCCAGACAGAAAAAGAGGUCACCUUGUCUGUGACAAUGCCUGAGAGGAGGCCGUUGGCGUCGGUGAGCAGCACGGCGUCGACCCGCCUGGCCGCCAUCCGCCGGCACGCCUCCGACACCGUCGUGCCCUCCGGGAUCGUCAGCGCCUUGGACAGCCGCAGCUUCUUCACCGUCCUCUCCCCUCUGACAACAACCCCAACAUUUUUUUUUCCCGUCAGAACUUCCAUGGAAAGGAGAAUUCAAAAAGGAGGAAAGAACUUUCGGGGGCUUAGUAUCAUUACGCGGCGUGGUUGGGAGAUGCGGGCUUGGAGGAAGGAGCCUUCCCGUUCCCAUUCCCGUUCCCGUUGCCGUUGGCGGUGGUGGCGGCGGAAGCGGAAGCGGAAGCGGAGGAGGGGUCGUCGGACUUGCGGGAGGAGGCGGCGGACGGCGGCCGGCUGCGCGUGCGGCGGCUCUGCGCCACGGCGGUGUUCAUGGCGGCGGCGGAGGAGCAGGGGAGCGUGUGAAGCGCUAAUCAGGGGUUAGACUGAGGUGCGGGGAUCGAAGAGGGAGGCCGGCGGGGAGGCGGCGGCGAAUGUUGGAGGAGGGAGGGGAGCGGUCGCUGUAGACUUCUGUGUGGGUAUUCGUGGUGGAGGCUUUUUACGUUCCAGACCUUCGAUGCUGCAUUAUUUGAGUUAAGACGUUCGUCGUGUCAUGCUUCAAUGCUUCGUGCUUGGUGCAUAAAUGAUAAAAAUAAAUACAGAAAUAGGAGUACUACUUGUAAGUACACCGUAUAAUAAUUUCAACCAUAAAUACUUGUACAUUAGUAUAACGGAAUCAGGAGUAAGUAAAUAUCAUAAAACCCGACCUUUGAGGCUUCUGUAUCCCAAAAAUCAAAUUUACGAGGAUUAAAUCACAUAACCACAUUUUUAGGACACAAUAUAACAACUUACUCAAAACUCAGUAUUAAGAGGUUUUAUUUUCAUUUUUUUGGUGGGGCCAAUUGGUGGGCCUUAUGUGGAGCUACAAGUUGCUACACUGGCCAUCUAACAUGGAGGAGACCUAACCUUCAUUUUCUUGUUGCACAUUUGCCUUUUCUUAUGUGGCAAGAUUUUCGAAAAAAAAUUUGAUCGAGCGAAACGAUAACAUAGAUGGCCAUAAAACAUUAGUCAGAAUACUGGACGACGAAGGAGGUACAACUAAAGUAGGUAUCAUACAUGGAAAACAAACACUAGUGUCGAAGGAGAACGAUGAUGACCCUCGUUUUGGAUGGAGUUGUGGCAUAUUUGCAAUUAGUUGGAAUUCGUACACCCGGAUCUAUGUAAAGCCAACGGCUAUUUAGUAUUAACAAGAGACAGGAUGCAGCAAGCAUACAUCUCAUGGGUCGUUUUUGUGAUACAAAAUCAUGAUCAUUGGAUGAUCCAUGUUCAAACGGCACUUAUUAAUGGAAUAAUCAUUGGCUCAUGUUUUACUUUGAAAAUAAUAAUUAAAACAACAUAUAUUGCAAUGGAAGGAGCAUUCAUUAAUUAAAAAGGAUGCUAUUUUUAUCACACCUUGCAAACAAUGUUGCUUGUGCACCCGUUCUUCACGAGCUCAUAGUGAAGUAGCGAACCAGCCGCGGCAGAAAUUAAUCAGUGUCCUUGACGCCACAGGGACGUCCUCGUGAUAACGUGACUCAACAGGGUGCAAAACGGAAGUUGAUGCCAUGAUGAUAUCGGUGGUAUACGUAUAUCAACUUGUACGCUUCCCAGUUGACUGCGACCGGCCUGGGGAGUCACCGGACGGUGGAGCCAGGUUCUGACAGCUCUAUGGGUCCCUUUCCACGGAUUGGCUGGGUGCGCUCGUCCUGGUAGCUUUGUCGCGCCGCAUCGAGAGAAUCGAUUCGAAUUCUUCCCACGUGCGUAAUAUUCAAGCACUUUUUUCUCCUGUUUUUUUUUUAAGAAAUUGAAAGCUGCCUCUCGUGUGGCCAAUUAUAGUUGCCAAUGGGCCAUCGUUGUAAAGAUGGGCCUUUUGAGGCUUCAUUUAUUUUGCUUUGUAGAUUGGAGUGGGCUGAACAACACAUAUACAUGCGUAUGCACUGGAUCUGUCGGGCCACAUUCUGGGCUAAGCCUUAGGCCAUCGACCCCUUCGGCCCUGUCUGUCGUCUCAUGGCCGUUCCUGAGUUUCCUUAAACAACAGCUAAUGGCAGUGCAUAAACCCUGUACUAGCCUAAUAAACAACUACUACUACGUUGGAUUUAUGCCGGCUGUCAAAAAAAAAGGUUGGAUUUAUGCCGAUACUCUCGUUUUUUUUUAAUGUUUUUGGUUGAUUGUAUAGAGCAAUCCGGGCCAAUGCAUUUUAUGAACGAGGAGUAUGUGUGAGGGUGGAAUUAGCUUGCGUUCGACAAGAUUGUCCAGAACAUACUCCGUCAGUUCCGUAUUAAAUUGAUGUUGUGGAAAGCUAAAAAGUCGAUCAAAUAUUUUGGAACAGCGGUAAUACUCUAAAAAGCAUAGAUUAAGCUACUCUAAAAUGUAAUCUCUAUUGGUGUGUGGGUCUUAUUUUCUAAUUUCCAACAUGAAGUUCCAUACUGCUGAUGAUUUAUGCUGCGUACAGACCAAUCGAGUGGAUGUGUCUCUCAGAAUUAACAAAGAAGCCCACAAUGGUCUUGUCCGCCGGCGCGGUAUAGCGAGUAGAAGGUUGGUUCCUCGGUGCUCCAUAAGGCCCAUACGUGGCCACGUCGGUGAUAAUUAGAAGUUCAACUAUAUAAUCGUCCAAAGUUGCCACUGAUAUUUCCUUGACAAACUCGGAAGGGCCAAACUUGAUCUGCAGAUAGCAUAAAAAGAAACAAAACAUUACUGAAGCGGUCAUGCAAUUUGCCUAUAAAUUAGUUUUAUUGAGCUGCCAUUUUCUUAACGAACCAAUAACAUCGAGUGAAGGGGAUAAAAAUAUAUAUUUAAACGCGCGCACCGUUCAUGUACUAUAGUGAAAGUCAUCGCCCCAAUGACCUGCUGUGUGAACCUGCCCAUCUUCACCGAUGUAAGUAAAUGAAAUUCCAUCAACAUUACUCCCACUCCAGAUUGUCACCGUUUCUAGACGUUGGGGUUUUCCUUCCAUUUCUUGAAGGGAACCGCCAGUUGUACCCCAUGGUGAAAGAUCGGUAUGGUUGGGUAGAGGGGGGUGAAUAGACGACUAACAAAUUUUAAUCUUUUUCUUUUCUAGAAAGAUACAGACACUUAACCUAGGAUUUACUAAAUUCUCUAAAAGUAAUGCAACCCUAGGAUGAAGUGCAAUAGCCGAAGUAAUAGCCGAAGCAACUAGAUAACAAGAAUGUAAAGGAUAAGAAUGGAUACCACACGAGAGACGAAGAUUUCACCGGAGUUCCACCGAUUGGGGUAGGUGCACGUCUCCGUUUGGAGGAGUGCUCUACCACAAAGGUAGAGACGCCACAAAAGCUCACUCUAUUCUCCUCUCACGGCACCACAAAGGUGAGUGAGCUCCACUAAUGACUUCCUUGAAGGCGAAGACCGAACCUUUACAAACUUGACCGGGGCUAGCUCCACAACUCAAUUGGAGGCUCCUAAUCUAAUCCUCAAGCUCCACAAUCCCCAAGGAAAGAGCUCAAGGCAACCACUUCCGUCUAGGGCUCCCAAAUGCCUAAGAGAAAUGAAAUCCACAAGAGAAACAAGGAGAAUCAACUUUGUGACUUAGUGAAACCCUAGAUCUAGGUCUUCUCCUUCAAUUCUCAAAGAAUCAACAAGGAGAAAGCUUUAUGGAGGGAGAUCUAGUAGAAUGAAGCUUAGGGAGUUCUUGGGAGAGAGGGGGCUGUUCUUUGCUUCGUGCUCGGGCAAAAAAACCGUUGGGGACGAAGGGGUAUUUAUUUGGACUUCACAAAAUCUAACCGUUAUGCACCGCGAUUCCCAGGGGCGGAACUUCCACUGGUCACCGGAAGUUCCGGGUGACAGGAAGUUCUGGCCCUGUUCCGGCUGAACUUCCGGAAAUCCACAAUGGAUUCCAGUAGCGUUGCGGACCUGGUCCAGAGGUUGGGCGGAAGUUCCGGUCUACCGGAACCCCACCGGAACUUCCGGACCUGGGCAAGCAAAUGCACAUCAGUUAGGCUCUAUAGUUGGUUCUCUCUCACUUUUUGGGUAGGUUUUAUGUGGAUGCAAGAUGUUUGUUUGUGUACGUGAAAAGCAAUUCACCCAUUACCUUCCCAUGUGGACUCCCUCUUAAUAGUACGGAGUUCCAACGACUCAAUAACCGAAAAACCCGCUACCACUACUCUUCGUCUUCCAACUUGAGGGCAUCGAAUCGUUUUGCGCCAUUUGAUAUCAAAUCUGAAAUACUUAACGCACGAUUAGUCCACACCACACGUUGUCAUCACCACCAAAAUUAACUAGGAGAGAAAUGCCCUUUCACAUGACCCCACCUUUGUUGGGGCCGGAAGUUCUAUUUGCACAUAUAAUGGAGUGAGCAACCAUUGAUAUGCAACAAAUAGUGUGGGAGUAAAAGUAUAGACAUAGACAAGAGAUUAUCUACCGAAGUUUUCGUUAAACUUGUAAUCAGUUCUCUCCAUCAACAUCGGGAAGUAAAGAAAUUAAAAGAAAAUUAAGAUCGAAUUAACCGACCGACAGUUAACACCGACACACCAAUUGUACGUAGUGCUCCACGUACCCUUCAUUGUCUAUCACCACGGAACAUACGCACCCUUUCUUCUUCUCACAUGUGCAUCUACCACCACAUCUCUACCUUGCUCACCCUAGCUAUAGCAUUCCUCCUAGACCACUCUAUAUCCUGUAAUCCAUUGACACGGUGGUGGAUGCAGGUUGUCAAUACCGGUACGGCAGACAGUGUAUGAAUUUUCAAUAUUGGCCGGUGGGCCAAAGACACUGGGAUUCUAUUAAUUUCUUCCUUUUGUGUUGAUAAUUUCGACCAAUGUCUCGUUCCAUGCUUUGCCACCUUGUGUUCUUGGGGCUGUUUAGAUUUUACUGUAACAUGUUCCGUUCUUAAUUAGUAUAAACCUCACAAUCUGCAAUUCAUAUUUUCCUCCAUGCGGUCUAUAGGACGUGGACAGUACGCAGCUCCACUAUGGUUCAACAUGGACACGGCUCAUAUAUCCUAGCUAGCGGUUAGAAACUAAGUGCAAAAAUAGUUACACUUCAAAACGUCAAUAAAUGGAAUUGUUCUGCAUGACUGUUGCAGUCUGAGUCUGUAAUGCUAUAUUAAUGACAUGUGUUGCACACAUCCAUGCAUGUACUUAGUCACCCGGCCUGAUAAAUAAUCGAUCAAUCAGUCAACAAGAAGAAGAUGGCAGGAAGGUACAGCGAGCCACAGAGAAGGAACAGAUCGAGGUCAUCACCAUGAAAGCAAGAAUUAAGAUCGAGAUGUGAGAGCCAUUGCCAGCAGCGGUUGGCACUAGAGACGUGGAUGAACCAGCAUUGGGGCUAUGCAUCGACGGAGAUCUUUUUAUUACGACCUCUUUCAUAACAUAUAGCAAAGGGAAGAAACAACUAACAUCAACUAAAAAAGUUGGCACUGUUAAACGUGGGCCAAGAUCUAGCACAUUUAAAUUAGUUUGAUCAUAACUAAAAAAGUUCUACCAGCCGCUUUCAUAAAACAUAAUUGAAACCAAAUGUGCAUGACAAUUUCUGCCUUGAUUUGUUUGUUGAGUCAACUCCAUUUCCUUUCAUCUACAAUUUAGGGCCAACUUGCAAAAUACCUUGAGUAUUUGUUUGUUUUAGUCAUUUAGCCUUGCGUUACACGUAAUUUUCUCUAAACUAAGAGUUAAUUGUAGCAUGACCGUUUUGGUACUAAAGUAGAAUAUCUCUCCUAUUCAAUGAAAGAUAUCUACAUGCAUCCUAUAAAUUGCUGCAACACUUUGCGUUGAAAGAAUGUAUGCUUGCAACUAGCAACAUUGCAUUGAUGCAAUAACCACUAUAGCCACGCCACAAUACUCAUAUAUAUGCAACGCCAAUGAUAGUUGCUUCUAUGCCCUAUUACUACGUCACAUUGAUGGCAAAAGCCCCUAGGUUAUGGCAACGUUUAAAACAUGUAUCUGAAAUCUAUAGCUACGGCACCUUUACCAUCGCCUGCCAACACUUGCGUUUUGCUGCGAUAUCUAAAUAUUGCAACGAAAAGGGACAUUUUGCAACUUUUUUUUCCCGUGGCCUCUGGUGGAUUCGUUAGUAGUUUAAAUUAUGGAUCAUCCUAUUAUCAUACAUCAAGUCAUAUCCUUCUUAUAAUGACUAACCUUGAGAAUAAUAUUACGAUGAAGAGUUUAUUAUUGGACAAAUGCCGGAGACUUUGCAUGCUUUUUUUCUUAUGAUUUUUAGCAAUCUACAAUAAAGAGGAUUAAUCAUUUUACUUCAUGUGUCUAACCUCAUUACACUUCUAAACACAUUUCUUUUUUGCAUCCUAUUUACACAAUAGGGUAAGUAUCAACCUUGCGGAUGUUGAUAUGUUAAAAACACACAUAGUACUUCUUGAAGUUCGAUGAGGAGUUUUUCCUAAAACCAAUAAAACAAACAGAACCUCGCUGCUCCCCAUUCGCUAAUUGAUGUGAAUAUGAGAUACCGGUGUAUGCUAUACUGUUGGUGUAUGAGAUGGAUGGAAAUAGUUCAUAUGUAUGGGAUUCCUUCGAUGCUUGUAUAUCUGUGUUUGGGUCUAGUGUGGAUAAGUAUAGAUGGAUGGCAAUGGAUUUGUUCAUUCAAUGUGUAUUCAUAUGUAUGCUUGUUGUUCAUGUAUAUAGAUGGAGCAAGAAAAACAGAACCAACCCAAAGCAAAUUGGGAUGCAACCUGCUGCCAGUGCAUUUUGUGGGACAUAGUGUUGAUCACUUCAAACUUCACCAGAGCCAGCUCCAUCAGGGUCAAGAGCUAAGUAUAUUGUAGUUUUGUGUCUCGACGCGAAAUUAAGAGGAUUCAUGUUUCCUUUUUACUUGUGUAUUUAGGUGCACCUCCACGCCUGCAAAUUUAUUAUCCCCGGCAGACGAUAGACUUUUCAUUCUUCAAAAAAAAUAUCUCGUGCCAGUAAAUCCUCUCAUGGCAAGCGUCAGGAACUCAUACAAGAAACUCGAGAAACACAGAAAGAAAGCUCAUUCAACAUUAUCAUCACUUUGAUGCCGAUAAAAACAAUGUAUGGGAUAAAUUUAUUUUUGAUGGAACAUAACAUACAAAGUGACAACAAAUCACUGAUGCAAAGAUGGCACGGGAGGACCCUAGCCAUGCAUACAUUUUAUUCCUAGAACUUGGAAAUUAGAAGCACAACUGAAAGAAACAUGUCACGGCAGUCCUAGCCAUAAUACUUGUUGUUCGACUAGUGGAAAUUAAAUAUGCCACAACAACAUGCAGUUCCAUACUGAUGAUGAUUUAUGCUGCGUAGAGACCAAUCGAGCGGAUGUGCCUGUCAGAAUUAACAAAGAAGCCCACAAUGGUCUUGUCCGCCGGCGCAGUAUAGCGGUUAGCAGGUUGGUUCCUCCGUGCUCCAUAAGGCCCAUAUGUGGCCACGUCAGUGAUAAUUAGAAGUUCAACUAUAUAAUCGUCUAAAGUUGCCACUGAUAUUUCUUUGACAAACUCGGAAGGGCCAAACUUGAUCUGCAGAUAGCACAAAGAAAGAAACAAAUUAGACAACACUGAAUAUGGUCAUCCAAUUUGCCUAUAAAUUAGUUUUAUUAAGCUGGAACUUUCGUAAUGAACCAUUAAAAUCGAGUGAAGGGAUACAAAUAUAUAUUUAAACGCACCGUUGAUGUACUAUAGUGAAAGUCAUCGCCCCAACGACCUGCUGUGUGAACCUGCCCAUCUUCACCGAUGUACGUAAAUGAAAUUCCAUCAACAUUACUACCACUCCAGAUUGUCACCGUUUCUAGACGUUGGGGUUUUCCUUCAAUUUCCUGAAGGGAACCGCCAGUUGUACCCCAUGGCCCCACCUUCGUUGGAGCCGGAAGUUCUAUCUGCACAUGUAAUGGAGCGAGCAACCAUUGAUAUGCAACAAAUAGUGUGGGAGUAAAAGUAUAGACAUAGACAAGAGAUUAUCUACCGAAGUUUUCGUUAAAUUUGUAAUCAGUUUUCUCCAUCAACUUCGGCCGAAGAAAUUAAAACGACCAAAUAUUAUACUUUAGGAUGCGCAUGUUUGUAAAUGUCUUGAGCAAAAGUUGAUGAGAAUGUGAAUAAAAGACGAGAAUAGGAAAGAAUGUUAUGCUCACGUUCUUCAUGCGGCAGAACGCGUCGAUAUUAAGCUCUUGCAUUUCCCCAUUAGUUAUGUCGGAAUGAAAUUUUCUCUCGAUGACACCACGUGCCAUUGAAAAGGCGCCGGUCCCGCCAACGAUAGCCCACUCACCUUGUUUCUUGGCCAUUACUCCCAUUACCUCAAGCGCGGACUCCUUGAACCUAUGUAAUUGCACCGAAAAAUAUCAUGCAGGUACCCAAACAUAUCUAGCUAAUAUUAUAGUGCAUGACAAGUUAGUUUGUCGACUAGCUACGUAUAUAUAGCUAUCCACGCUGCCUGCCUAGCUUACUACAAGGUAAAAACAAAGUUCAAUGGAAACUUAAUUUGAACAUACCUUUCAUUCUGGAACACCAUGGUGAAUGAAAUGUACCAGCCAGCGGCAUUCAUAUGCAUGCCUUUUGCAUGGGCAACUACCUCCGCGUCUGGACCCACACCGUCAUAGAGCGCCCAAUUGUUGACGGCGGUCUGACCGAGCCUAGUACUAUUGUCUCCCCUUAUUAUUUCUAACUGGUUGGCACUUGGCCCAGAAAUGAUGCGGCGCAAGUACAAGUUGCUGAAGUUAAGCCUAGCAUUCUCCACAAGAUCACCGUAGCAACGGAUGACCUGGAAGCUGCUGGAGGAUUUGGCCAUGGGUGAGUGCUGGGAACUAGCUAGCUAACUGUCAACUAGGGUAUGGUCUUGCUAGCUUGGCUAAGUUUGGUUGUUUGCUGUGUAAAAUGCAGCAGAUGGCGAGGGGUAUUUAUAGGACCAGAAUCAGGGAAGCCCAUCCAUGCACCACCUUCUCUAUUCCUGUUUACUUGGAGUACUGCUGUUUUCAUCACAUGCAUUAGGAUUCAGGAGCGGCUAGUUCAAGCACAAGAUAUGAUUAAUUAGAACAUCCAAGAGAAAGCGCGUGGCACUUGCUUAAAAGAAAAGAACCGACAAAGAGUAUCAUUUGUUUCAAAGAUAAGUGAGCUUGUUAAUCACAUGAUCAAUUAAAUGGUGACAUGGAUCGAUAGACUUUAGACGAUUUUACUGAGGCACGUGAUUCAGUAAUUAAGAUCUCAUUUUGUCGGCUAUGAUAUUAAAAGCAUAUCUACCAGAGAUGCCAACGUGAAGUCCCUCUGGAAACAAAAAAAUAUUUACACCAGCUGCUGUUGGACAUUUGGAUCUUAAAAAUAUUUUUUACUAGUGCUAACAAUGCUUUCGAUAUCAGCAGAGCGGCAUUGUGGUACGUGAAGCGUGCGUGGCAGAUCGAGCACGUUUUCUUAACCGACAAACGGGGCAAAAUGGUGUAAUUUCCUCGAAGCUUGGACAAGCAACUGUGAAAUUAAACUGCUAGCCUAUACCUCCAAAUAGCUCCCCUAUUUUUUUUUUCUAGAAUCAUUUAUAGAAAGGAGAAACUCCAAACAGCUCCCCUAUUUUUCAUAGCUAGUAGCCGACGAUAGGUAUAUUUAUAUCAAAAUGGUUCAUCAAUGACAUAAGGGCAUCUCCAAUGGUGGUUGGUACUAAAUUUGUGUUCUUCAUUUUUUUUAAUGUGUUUCCUUUUUCUUAUUCAUAUUUUUUUUUGAUGAACCCACAUGUCAUCCUCUUUUCUGUCUUGGUAUCCGUAUAGUACCUGUUACUUUUUCAAGUAACCACUAAUUAGUUGUGGUAUUUAUCUCUCCUCCACAUUGACCACUAUCUUUUUGGUAUCCGUGUAGUACCCAUUGUUGAAGAUGCCCUAAUACAUGAGACACAAGUUAUACUUAUACAUAUGAGGUACAAUUUUUUUGACUUCCUACGUUUAUAUUGUGUUCCCACCGGCGGUGGUGAUUAGUUAAACAAUAACUUAGCAUAUUGCAAUAAACAGACGUUAGAACUCUAUCUUAAACUAAAUUUUAUUAUAUCACAUACAAAAUCUAUAUAUGUUGAGUUGCAUACACCAACUAAUUAAUUUUAUUUUACUUUACUAGCACAUUGUAGAAGAACUGGUGCCUCCUUUAAUUAGAGGUGUAGAUAUCGAAGGAAAGUGGAGCGAGUCGCGGUAGAGGUGGGAUGAGUGGAUCCAGAUGUAGGAGUCGGAGGAGAUGAUGAUAACGACGGGUUGUACAUGUGGGCUCACAAGCUUUUUCACAGGUCGAGUGGAAGCCAGGAGACUCCCAUUUCUGGGCCGGUCUGAUGAAGGUGAAGCGAGAUUUUCUUCGCUUCGGAUCCUUUCAUAUCCAAGACAGGUCUCAAGUUCGCUUUUGGGAAGACAUCUGGCUAGGUACACGCCCACUUUGCGAGCAAUACCCGAGUCUUUUUGGUAUCAUCCGGAACAAGCACGAUACCAUCGCCCAAGUUCUCAGUUCACCCAUAGGAAUGUUUAUUUUCAGUUAGCUCAAUGUACCACGUGUUGGUCCAUAGGCAAUUGUGGAAACUAAAAGUGCCUCUCAAGGUAAAAGUUUUCAUGUGGUUGUUGCGACAAGGGGUCAUUCUCACAAAAGAUAAUUUGCAAAAAUGAAAUUGGCAUGGAAACCCAAAGUGUGCCUUUUGUGCUCAGAUGAGACGAUCAAGCACUUGUUUUUUAAUUGCCAGUUCGCACGUUCUGCAUGGUCCACCAUUCAGGUGGCUUCUAACCUUCGCCCACCAAAGCGUGUCAAAUAUUUUUGGCAAUUGGCUAAAUGGUAUAGGUACAAAGUUUAGAGCUAUAAUUUUGGUGGGGCGACCGCUCUUUGUUGGUCGAUAUAGCUGUGCAGAAACGAAAUUGUAUUUAACAAUCGACAAUCCACCUCUUUUAUGUAGGUUAUUUACCGUUCAUGGUCGUUGCUUCAACGAGAGGAAGACAUUACCUAUGAUUACGGCCGCAUGCUUGCAAGUGAAGCGGGCAGUCAGGGAGGUGUUCACCCACAAUGGGUGGCAGCAUAGUUUACGUCUGCAGGCUUCUUAAUUAGCUGAUGUUCGGUUGUAGUUAUUUAUUUUGACUCUCGGCUUUGUUUGGUUUUCCUUUGGUUGUGUGCAUCUUUGUUAUGCAGAGGCCGGGUGCAUGCGAACUCUGUUUGGUGUAUCUUCUUGAUGCGACAUCUUAGUUCAAUAAAGCUUCCAUUAGGAAAAAAAACCACGGUUGUUGAGGCGGCGCGUUUCUACGAGCUUGGACCGAGGCAGGAGCACCUGCCUGCCACCGUGGGAGGCACACAGUACAUAGUUGGUGACGACACGGCGAACCGUGGCAUCACACUAUUGGGUCAGCCCCGGUAUGUACAUCCAUACACCACACCACUUAUAUUCGUUUCUACGUGGAGUAUUUAUGAUCGGACUCCUAUUUUCAUCACGGGCGUCAUGAGCGUGGAUCACGGUGUAGAUCAAUUAUCACAUUCAAAUGAGAGAGCAUACCGUUGUAUCACAUUCUACCGAGAGAGCACAUGCAUGACGCUUCCACGAAGGUUAAAAAAACCCCGACCAAGAGCAUAUCAUUUGUUUCAAAGCUAACAGACCUAUUUAAUAAUUACUCCCUCCGUUUCAUAAUUCUUGUCAAAAUAUUACAUGUAUCUAGUCGCUUUUUAGGAAUAGAUACAUCCGUAAUUCUUGUCUCAAAUUUGCCCAAAAAUGAAUGUAUCUAUUCCUAAAAAGUAUCUAGAUACACAUAAUAUUUUGACAAAAAUUAUGGAACGGAGGUAGUAGUAAUCACUCAGAUUAGUGCUGGCAUGGAUGGAAUUUAGAAAGUUUUACCGAUGCACGUUAAUUAUUAAGUGUUUCAGGUUCAGCGUCAUCUUUCUACAGAGAUACAUGUGCCCUCUGUUUUUCAUAAUGAUGUUUGUAGUUUUCGUUUUGCAUGCCCUGGCUAGGUCAAUUUUUCCUCUAACAUUCAGUAAGCGUGUAGAAAAAUGUACCACUGUCUAAAACACUAAAUUAAUUUAUUCGAUCUAUAUGGAUGAGGAUAUAUGCAAUGAUUUCUCAACAUGUUUGAAGGAUUAAAGGAUGUCCUAAGUGAAACGUGGAAUUGUCCAGAUCUUGAACAGGGAAAGCAUUCCUAAUUUGAGCAGCAAGAUUGUGGUCCACCUUCUUACUAAAAAGAAUAGCAGAUUUGUUCUAGUUGGGGGUCUGGCCCGAGUCGCGACAAAAGUCAUCAAUGAUUUGUCGGACAUUUUUCGCUUCCUGACAAGUUGCCUGACCACAUAUCAGAAGAUCAUCUGCAUACAUUAAAGAAUGAAUAGGAGGGCAAUGUGGGCCAAGAGAGAUACCAUUGAGCUGUCUACUCUGCAACGCUUCCUGUAAGGAGAUGGAUAAUUCGUUAGCAGCAAGGACAAAGAGGUACGGUGAUAAAGGACAUCCUUGUCUUAUUCCGCGGCUGACAGAGAAUCUCCCAAAAGGUUGGCCAUUAAUGAUAACGGAGAAGGUAGGCAACGAGAUGCAGGCCAUGAUGAGAUUAAUGAAAUUACCAUGCAGCCCUUUACGUAGAAGCGCUCUCCGAAUGAAGUGCCAUUCUAGACUAUCAAAAGCCUUGGCUAAAUCGAUCUUGAGCAUGAAAGCUUUGUGAUUCCAGGAAGAGAGAUUGAAGGAGUGGGCUAUUUCUUGAGUUACGAUUAGAUUAUAAGUGAUACGCCGACCUAAUAAAAGCUUAUUGCAUAGGGUCAAUAUGAUCAGGAAGAUGACAUUUGACUCUGUUAGCAAGAGCCUUAGAAAUGAUUUUAGAAAUGACAUUACAGAGGUUGAUAGGUCUAAAAUCAGUAGUAGAAAUUGGAACCAUUUUCUUAGGAAUUAAAGCAAUAUGAGUUUCAUUGAGUUUAUGUGGCAUUAUACCUGAGGUGAAAAAAUUUCUUACCACCUUAACAAUGUCAUCUUCAAUCCAAUCCCAAGGUGCAAAAUAGAAUCCCACAUUGAAGCCAUCAGGUCCUGGGGAAGCAUUCUUUUUCAUGGAUUUAAGAAUCUGCAAAAUUUCAUCUUUAUCUGGAAUGGAAUAGGUAUACUCAUCAGGGAGCUCCUCAUCUGCUUCAUGCUCCGAUAGUCUAUCAUGUUCAUUGUUAGAGGAGGAAAACAAUUCAAUUCCAAACUUAAUGGUUUCAAGGCCAAUCGUCUCUCCCAUGCUGGUAGACUCACGCUCAUUAAUUCGGUUUUUUCCUCCAUUCCUGUCCACUAUAUGUCCAAUUUCCUUUUUUCCAGAAAAUUCUUAGCAAAGCUCACUGCUAUCAUAAGGAAUUUCUGGUGGACUGAUGUCACGGAUAGAGAUUCAACCAAACCCCUUUGUCUUAAAGCUUGGGAUGACAUUUGCAAACUCAAGAAGAUGGGUGGGCUUGGAACCAGAAGCAUCCAUGCCAUGAAUAAAAGUCUUUUAGUCUCUUCAACCUAGAGGAUCGUCAAUGAGCCCAACAGCCAUCUCUCGCUAAUCCUUAAAGCCAAAUAUUUUCCAACAAACUCCUUUUGGAAGCCUAAUUGUAACACUCCCAAAUCUUCUUUCUGGGCUUCCAUUUCCAAGAUUAAACACAUGCUUUAUGACUCCUGUUUUUACCAAAUCAGAGAUGGUAAUAGCUCCAUUUGGAGUUCCCCCUGGUUCCCUUACUGGAAAAACAUACAUGAUUACCUUAGAAUCCAGAACAAGCCUUUUUCUUACCCGGCUGUAGUUAAAGAUCUUUGGCUUGAUAAUUGUAAAGUCUGGAAUGCUAACUUGGUUUUGUAGCUCUUUGAUCAACCGGCGGCGGAUGAAAUUCUCAGAACUGCCAUUUUACCAGGAGAUGGAGAAGAUAUCCUUUGCUGGAAACACAAUGCUUCUGGGAUUUGCACUACUAAAGAGGCUUAUAAAUUUUGUGCUCAAAGUCUUCAAUCCUCUACUUCUCCUACCACUGAUUCUCAACAGGUAUCUUCUGCCAUGAUGGAAAUUUGGAAAAGCAAAACCAUUCUUCCUAGAAUAAAGAUAUUUGCUUGGCGUCUCCUUCAAAAAGCCCUUCCCACAGGUAAAAGAGCAGGUAAAUUUCUAAGAACAUCUCAAAAAACUGCAUCAGGUGUGGAGUGAUUGAGGAUGAAGUUCGUAUUUUCUUUCUUUGCCCUUUUGUCAAGGCUGCUUGGUUUGCUUCCCCCUGCUAUGCAACACAACUCUAUCAUCAAUAUUCUUGCUUCUAUUUCUCAUUCAAGUCAUCCAAAUGCUUCCAUUCAAAACAUCUUCACCUUCAUCUGGUGCAUUUGGAAGUCCAGGAACUCUCACCUCUUUAGCAGGAAGGUCACCUCCCCUUUACAGAUUGCUUCAAAUGUGAAUAACUUGUUUGCAGGGUUGGAGCUGGAGUCUACUGCGGAUUUGAACAAAAAAACAGGAUCUUCCACACUCUUACUCCACCCCCAUUUCUACUUCACAAAUUUCUCAUUUGCAGGGCUUUAACGUCUACUCUGAUGCAGCUUGGAAGUUGCCUGGUGAUGGCAAUGAUGCUUCAAUUGCAGGUCUUGGUGUCUUCAUCGAAUCGCUGGGCCCAAACAACAGAUGGAUAGCCAAGAUUCAAGCUACUUCUUCCCCAGUCUCUUCAGCUCUGCAGGCUGAAGUUCUAGGUGGUCUCCUUGCUGAAGCAAAGCAGAUCACAGAUAAUCAAAUCCUGAUGGUUGCCUGUCAGCUGAAGGAUGUGAACAACCACCCUGGUCACUGGUCAAUAAGAGCUUAUCUAUCACAGAUCAUUGAUAUCCAUUCUAGGUUGAAUAACAGGAUGAUUUUCACUCCAAGAGACAACAAUACUUUAGCCCAUCAAUUAGCUAAGGAUGCUAAGAAAAGGGGUAACAACAGCCCUAUCAUCUCUUGUACCAAUGAUUUUCAGAGGACUGUGGGUUGUCCUUUUAGACAACGGUGUAACUCCCAAAGUUCUGUUUUAUACAGGCUUCGCCAUGUACUAUGUUGUUAAUGAAUAAAUUCCCUUUCUUAAAAAAAAAAACAUGUUUGAUUGUUAGACGUCGGUCAUUAUUGAACCCUCACACGCGGAAAAUGUAUAGGCCCCCGGCCUCCGACCCAGCAUCUCCAUUGGGCCUCCGACCCAGCAACAGGGCCCCCGAGGCUGUUCUAAGAAAAAAAAAAGCAGAAACAAAAAACAGGGCCCAUCGAUGUGGCUGUCCACCGAAAAGGUACAAUGCUUGGUUUUGGACGCGAAAGAGGGUGUGGGCUGUCCAUCGAAAGCAUAUCACCGUUGGGCCUCCAACCUGGCUGGACGCACACCUACACCAACAGGGCCAAGGCCCUAGGGGCAUAUUCGCUCAUAUUUCACCCUUAAAUGAAAUAUGAAGCAACAAAAAAGCAAAAAAAAAAAAAAAGCCCAAGGGCCAUCGGAGCGGAAUCCAUGGCGGCCGCCGCCUGCUGCUCAUCGCCGUGCAGUCCGCCGGCGGGAUCCUGACGACGGCGAGAAGAUUGGAACGGCCAGCCGGGCCCCGCGGCGCGGAGGAGGGAGGGAGUUCGCUCCAGUCGCGCCGCCCGCGAAGAAAGGCCACACUCCUACCCUGCGGAGCCCGGUGCCUCGAUCCCAGGGGCGGCGGAGGGCGUCCUCGUCUCCCAUGAGCUGAAGCCGCCGGCGUCUUGCUUCAAUGGAUCUCGGAGGUAUGCAAUCUCGCUAGAUUAUGCCCCUACAGUCCUACACAUAGCACACGGCGGUUCUCUUCUCUAAUUUAUUUUUGCAUACAAAAUCCCGGCCCAAAUUCAACAUGGUCGUAUAAGGGAAGAACAGUUGCUGUCCAUGAAUCCAUGAUCCUACCAAUGUAGUAGAACUAUACGUACUAAUAAAACCAUGGAAAUAGAUAAUGCCUGGUUUCUCUUCUCAUCUGAAUCAAACAUCUAAAUUGUGGACUGUCUGAGCUUAAUUAGUAAUUACCGCCUUUCCAUAAAAAAGGAGCUUAUUACCACCUUCAGAGAAUGCAGGCAUGGUUAGGAGUUGAGACCACUUGACUUGACCGAUCCAUGGAGCUUGGAUGGACCACCUUGGCUGAUCCAUAUGUCUACUUGUUCCAGCUUGCAAUUUCAGCAGCAUAAUGUACAUGUCAGCUAAUUUGCCGUUAACUUCAAACCUGCUGCCAUCAAAUAGCAGCAAGCUGCAGGGAAGAAAAUAUGGCAAACUUAAUCACAAUACAAGCUAUCCCAAAAGUGUAGUGCGAAAUACACUAUAACUAAUAAAAGACGGCAAUAGGAAGCUCUAACAACAACGAAUUAAGGGGAGUUUUGUUUGCCCAGAUCCUUUGCAAACCGCAAAUUCUUCACUAGUUCACUCCUUGCGAUUUCAGUUUUGUUUGCCCAGAUCCUCUGGACGUCCUUCUAUUAAAUUAAUUUGCCGUUUCUCAUUCUGGAAAAUAACCCUAACAGCAUACUACAUUUACAUGGUAAAUUACAUACAGUCAUACAGAAUUGCGGAUACAUGAAUCAACAAGUAGCAUGCACUCACCAUGUAUAAUAUUUGGAUCAUGCUAAUUCCUGAAGCUGCUUGGGUGGUUCUUUGCUUCACUAUCCUUUUGGUUUUGAUUCGCUGUAUCUGUCUGAGCAUUCCUCUGCUCCCUUUCGCCUUUCGGCCCUAUAAUUGCUUGUCCUGCACUCAUGAGGACUCAUUUACGUCCUUAUUAGGUUACUCCUGCAUAGGUUGAACAUUGCUGGUUUUUCUAUUAUUCUGCUGAGUUGCUUCAGUAUUGCCUUCAGGUGCUUCAUCCUUGUCCCACAGUCUGCUCUUCUGGAUACCACAGUGCCAAAGGAAUGCCCAGAUGAGGACUAUGGAUUCACCUCUUGCUUAUCAAGGUUGUUCUUGUGAUCUGCUGCAUUCCACCUGGAGGCGAUGUGCACAAGUAAGUCAGCCCAGACUCCAGCUAUAAUCUACCAACGGCUUUCUUCAUUCUCGUAUUUGAUGAGAUCCUUGACUAGAGUAGCACCUUGCUCAAUUAUGCUCAUACUAAGCCUCCAUCCACACUGUGGCUUCCAUGAGUUUGUUAUAUCUAUAUUGAAUCAAGUUACAAUCUGUGAGUCGUCGGCGAGCAUGUCCCACGGUUUCCGAAAGAUAACCUCGGGUACAACAAAACCAUCUGGAAAUAUUCCAGGCUGAAAAAUCUGGAAACAGCACGGAGCACAGUAUUGUGGCUGUUGGAGAAGAUUUAGUUUUCAGCCAUCUGGUUUGGAUAUAAACUGCUUUCACGAUAUGCCAACGAUUUUUGUUGCGCUUGUCGUCGGCUCAUGCCUUGGAAUUUGCAACCAUCCUGGAAAUCCUGGCCAUGUAGAGUUAAGCUACGGUUAGGAUUCAAAACGGCACCAGCGUGCCCUUAUACAUAGAUACAAAGGCAGACGAUUUUCUUCCAUAUUAUUUGAUAUUUCUUAUAAGUCGUCUAAAAUUAAGCAUAAGGUGUAACUUCGGGGACAUCUGAUAAAACCCAUAUGCUGCAUAUAAUUCGAUGAAGACAUGUACAUAUAUAUCCAAGAAGUUGAAACAAAACGAGAAAAACAGCCAUGAAUAAAUCACACAUGCCCACGUGCACGGGAUGCAUGAUGUCUGUGGAUCAGGCUGCAAUGAGGUCAACAAGGUCUAGCAGCUGCUGGCCAUGGUCGGUAUCUGCACCGAGGAAGCCAGCAUGCGACAGCCGAGAGCAGAGCCCAGAGGUGCGUCGUCAGCUCUCCCUGCCCUUGGAGGUGUAUCUGAUGAUUGGCUGCUCUCGUGGACGCCGACAGGUGCAGGAGAAACCCUGCCCAAAACUUACCCAGGCUCCCUGUCGACAGCACCAUAUGUGGACAUGAGCUCCAUCGACAGCUUCGCGCCGAUCUUGACAAUGGACAGGCCCUUCUGCUGGUCAGGCGCCCACACCGUCGCAACUAGCGUGUCAUGGACCUUCCCCAUCGUGCGGCAACCCCUCAAAUCAUAGUAGACCUCUUCACGGCGUCGAACACCUUAUUGGCCACGAGGCAUUGUCUGGCACCAGCGCCUCCGUGUCCAGGUAGGCGCAAUAGUUGGACAGGCUCACCACGCGCCUCAAGGCCCCGAAGAAGGGUGGAGGGCAGGCUCAACGUGUACAAAUCACCUGGGGAUCCUGUGGCUUCCCCCCAGCAGCAGCAGCAGCAUCAGCUUGAUAUGUCAGAGGCUGGUGGCGACAUGCCAUACCCAGAACCUUGUGGGGUCACCGGCCUUGAGCGCGUGGUGGAUAGCGCUGAUUUUGGACUGCAAUAAUCUCUUUUCGGCGAAGGCCUUCCAAUGGUGAGACAUGAGUAAUUUGUUUCUCUUUUCCUGAUCCCAGAACACAGCAAAGAACGACAGAAACAACAGGCGAACACAAGAGGGAUUUUGCGACACCUUAACUUGCGCCUUUUCUGACAUUUCUUUUUUAUUCAAUCGCGGAACUCAGCAAAAGCUUGCUGGCCCGACAUGUCCGCCAUGACCCAACAUACACGCCCUCUAGGGCGACCAGAUCAAAUAACCAUAUAUAUCAGCUAGCGUGAUCAUAACUUUCAGGUUUACAAAACUGACGUGAGACGAAACAUAAAUAACGUGGUUUGAGAUACCACACAACAAGGCUUAACAUUAACCGUGUACUCAGGCAUUCAGGUCAUCUGUGUCAAGCAUCUGAUGACCAUGGGUGGUGUCACCAAGGAAGCCGGCGUGCGACAGCAAAGCCCAGAGGAACGUGGUGAGCUCUCCCUGCCCUUGGAGGUGAACCUGAUGCUUAGCUGCCGUGGUGUUUGCCGACAGGUUAAGGAGAUAUCCCGCCCAGAACCUGCCCAGGCGCUCCCAUAGGUCCUCCCCGUCGACGGCGUAUGUUGACAUGAGCUCCAUUGACAGCUCCGUGCCGAUCUUGACGAUUGACGGGCCAUUUUGCUGGUGAUCAGGUGCCGACAUCUCCGCAACCAGUGCGUUGUGGACCUCCCCCAGCGUGCUGCACUUGCUCAAAGUGUAGGCAGCCUCUUCACAUACUGCGUUGAACACCUUGUUGGUGACAAUGCCAUUGUCCGGCACCAGGGCCUUGGUGGCCAGGUAGGCACAGUAGUUGGACAGGUUCACAGCCGUGGAAUAAUGCUCCGGCAGGCCUGCCAUUGGGCAUAGGCUGUACAAGUCGACUCCGGCAGAUUCCCUGGCUUUCAUCUUCAGCAGCAGCUUUAUCUGGCAGAGGUUGGUGGCGACAUGCCAGACCAGAAUUCUUUGGGUCUCGCCGGAGUCGAGGGCACAGUAGAUAUCGCUGAUUUUGGAUUGCAGCUGUCUGUUGUUGCCCAAGGCCUUUCGGUGUUGAGACAUGAGUAAUCUGUUUCUCCUUUUCUGAGCCAAAGCCGAUGAUGGUUUCUUCUUCGCAUCUUCAGCAGACGCUUCGCUCACGACUUGGUUGAGUGACUCAAAUAUCACCCUCUGUACGUUAAUCCCCAGCUUGACUGAUCUGGCAAGGCAAAACGAUAUUUAUUCAUCUUGAAAGAUGAGACUUCUAUAUAUAUUAUAAAUGGAAUCUAUAUAUUCCAAAGUACACAUAGCAUCUGGCCUGGCAUUUUUGGAACUUACUAGCUAGGCAGUGUUAAAUCAAGAAGGAAGGAAGGUGUUGUUUGCAUGAGUAUAUACCUGGAGCGAAGUCGUCUAUUUCGGGUGGUUUUAGCUCGAGCGGCCAUCAAUAGGUUGUGCUGUCGUAUGUUUUGAUGCCACCGGCCCCUUCUGACGAGGCAGAACAUGAUCCUGGCCACCUUCUCCAUCACAAAGCGAUGGAGCAUCGGGGUCCACCCUGUCGGACUCUGUGGCAGCCGGAUGUAGUGGCAGAUGAUCACCACCUUGGUCCACUGAGACAGCACGUAGACACCCAUCUCCCACAGCUCCCUGCAGACCAUGAUCAAGAUGAUGAAGCGCGUGACGGAGCCACCGUGGGUAAUCCUCGCCAGGUAGCCGCCUUUGGUGACGGCAAUGGUUGCUGUGGGCAGGCCACGGACAGCAUACGCCAGGUAGGACGCUGCACCGGUCAUGAGCAGAGACAGCAUCAGCCUCAGCGUAGGGAAGCCGUCAGCGAAGACGACCGGGUGCUUGCUGUAGGACAAGUCCUGGAACAAAGACGGCUCGACCUCCGUGACGCGGAACACCCUCGUAGCCGUGGUUUUCCGGUUGCUCGUCGAUAAGGUGGGCGACGAGCUUCCUUGAGGCCGGGUGAUUGGCCUCCGGUAUGGGGAAGUCGAAGAAGCGGUGGCGGAGAAGCUUGUAGAGUGCGAAGGAGAGGCACAUGUCCUUGAACCGGCUGUCGCGGUCGGCGCCCCUGCCCAGCAACUUGUCUUGGGCGUCGUCACUGCAUUUCCAUACCCUGGCCACCGUGAUGAGGUCCUCUUUGUGUGUCUUGUCCAGAUGAAACAUGAACCUGGGCCUCUGGAUCAUCUUCACCUGCCAUUCUUCCCCAAGGACUAAGUAAUCAUACCAGGCCAUGAAUGUGGUCUCCGCCUCGGUGAUGGCGCUGGUGUCGUCCUUCUGCUGCCUGGACGCCAUGUAGUUGCUGACGAGCUUCAUGUUGUCGACGCAGGCGCCGGAUGCCUUGUUGGAGAAGUAGAACCAGAUGACCCGCAACGCGUGAAUGGUCCAGAUGAUCCAGAGAGGCGCCUUGAGGUACCUGGCUGUUCUUGCCCGGAGCUGGUUGGUGGACCACAGGGAGUUGAGCAGGUCCAGCGUGGACAGCUGCCGGGGCUUUUACGGCCGCCUGAUUCGGGCGCUGUCCUGCAUGGUGACAAUUAGGAUGGCCCAUACCUGGAAGAGGUCGUUGGUGACGGACCCUCUCUCGGCGGAAAACGGCUGCAUCAGGCCGAGGCUGUAGGACACAAAGUAGUGGCUGAGUAUCAUGAUGAUCUGGACGCCGAGCUUGACGUUCUGGGACGAGACUGUGAACCGUGGCCCAAUGGCGCCCACGGCGAACUUGAGCAGCAGCACCACCACCGACGACACCACCCAGAACUGCACGCUUGCUGCACGGGUCGACGGGUCAUGCUGGAACAGUGAUCGCACCGUCUCGGGGAUGGAUGACAGAAACUCCGACGCCAUCUUGCUGGCCGGCCCCAGGUGGCAACGCCCUCCUCGGUACUACGUACCCAGCUAGCUCUACUAGCUCUGGCCCGUCAAGGCUCUAUCCGCCUCCGUUUCGAGAUGUGCGGCAAGUAGGCGGUCAGUAGCUGCUAAUACAGGUAUUUCUCUUUUUUUAAAGAAGGAGCAAGCUCCAGAUUUCAUUAAGGAAAUCACACAAGGUUCAAGGUUGCUCCUAAUACAGUUUACUAGUACUAUUUUCUUCGUUAUGGACCACAACGACAGGUGCCUGGCGCUUAGAUGUAGACCAACCUUGUGCAUAUGCUAGGAGAUAUCGAGUGUGAAACUAAUGUACUAUAUAUUUCACAAUGUGUCAUACUCAUUACACGCAACAACUGGGGCUUUUCUGCUUUCCUUCGGCCUAUUCAGCCCCAAAGCCACCGGCAAGCCACCGGCUGUUAGGGCGAGUUGGCGUGGGCAGUCUUCUUCUUUUCAGCUUAGUAAAACAUCGAAGCCCCCAAGCUCUCAAUUGUUCGUGCGAGUUGGCGAACUUGGGCGGAUAGUUUUCUUGUUCUCUCAUUUUAAGAAAAUUUACAUCAAAGCCUCCAAGCCCUCGAUUGUUUAGGCGAGUUGAAUAACUCGGACGGGAAGUUUGUGAUGGUUCUAUAGACUUGUCUAUUAAAAAGGUUAGAGUAACAUGUCAGAAAAUUGAAAAACCCCAACGGAAGCAUAUGGUGAAUAACUUUCCUAAAGAUAACCCAAGAGCCUGAUAUCUUACACAAACUCGAGGUGCGGAGAGUCGUGGAACUUGCAAUUAGAAAGCCCUGAGCUUAUAUGAGCGGGGAAGGGCAGAGAUGCGGGCUCGUUUCAUGAGUGGGAACAAUGUGGGGAAUAGACCACACUGGACCUGGUAGACUUUAUUCAUGAUAUAAAAAAGAGGCUAUACCGAUAUGAUCCACGUUUUUGUAUAAGUCAGGGAUCUCUUCGUCGUCACACGCAAAUCGAUAUGAUCCACGUCGUGGGUUGGCUAUACCGUAGUGAAGGGGCCUUCCCACUUAGAGAUGAGAGUUUAUUUUGUUCUUUGGUGGAUUGGAUAAGUGGGAGAACGAGAUCCCCAACAUAUAUCUGGAGUUCUCUUCUUGGCGUUGUGCUUCAAAAUGGCGUCAGAGCUAGUCCUUGCUGGUAGAUAACAACUAGUACUAACGACAUGGCGCAUGUUCUUCGACUGUGUCAAGGUCGUCCUGUCGACACGAAAAACCGGCUUCCUCGUGAAACUAGAUUGCCUGAGGGACCUGAUCUUGAGUUCAGAGGGCAACAUGCAUGGUCUCAGCCUCGAAGACCAUAGUUAAAGAUGUGUCGCUCAUACGUCCGAAACAUAUCUAAUCCUUUCAAAGUUUCCAUUCAUGUUUUUAUUGUUUUUAGUAAGUUUUUGGACUUCAUUACAUUUAACAAACGUCGUCUUCAUUUUGUUAUUUCAGGAAUUUAAACAGGACGUCAGCAAAAUGACGGAGCCAGGGCCCAUACGAAGGUCUCGGGCGACCAGAGCAGACGUCCCGGACCUUUGGCCUGGGAGCCUUCGUCGCCGUCGCCUUUUGACAUAUUCUUCGUCCCCCGACUUAAAAGACAUUUUUAUAAAUUCCGUGCACAGAAAAAACCGCCUAUUAGAAAGCGAAGCAAAUCCAUAGAAAUUUCUGCCGCCGGAAAAGGACCUGACUGUACCAGCUCGUGAUACCUAAGGACCUGGAUUCAGUGAAGUCACUUCACCUGACUUUGGGUGGCUGACAUGUGGGUCCCAUGACCCAUUGGCCCACGUGUCAGCCACCCGUUGGAUUCAGUGAAGUUACUAGUACCGAACUCUACCGAUGGAGCUCUAUCCUUCCCGGAGAUGCGCAGCAAGUAGCUCCGAAUGCAGUUUUUUACUAGUGUGCCCGCUACGGACCACAAAGAAAGACAGGUGCGCGCGGCCGCGCAUUCUGUCUAUUAUAUACUGCUCAGCUUAUUUUGUAUAAGCACUUAGAUGUAGACUAAACUUAGCCCAAACUUACACAUAUGCUAGUGUACUUUGAUACUCGUAACGAUAAUUUAGAAAAGCUGACCCCAGCUUAGCCUCUUGCAAGCAAUUUGACAUAGACCGCCGUAUACAUUAAUUACUCUAUAUAUGUAACCAAAGGGAAUGGCCCUCGCAAUUUUGUACACAUUCUCUUAGUCUAUGGUUUCGGAAAUUAUAAUGAGCUAACGUCUCAGCUCUCCGGCAUGCAAACUCACUCAUUCGACCCUAACCUCCCUUUUGCUAAUUGCAUUUCUUCUUCACAAAAUAAUUAGAUUAUUAAUAUAAUUACCUUGUUAAUAUAUAAUUCAUGCGAUUUAAAUUGAUACCAUUUUAUUCGAAUACAAAAUACAUAUUUAUGGUUAUGAUUUGGAUCAUAUAAGUCUCAUAAUAAUGGAGAGCAGUUGCUGACCAUGAAUCCAUGAUCCUACCGAUGUAGAACUACUAGUAAACCAUAGAAAUGGAUAAGGCCUGGGUUUUUUUUCACCUCUUCUCAUCUGAAUCAAAUAACUAACUACAUUGUGGACUGUCUGAGCUUACCACCACCUCCAGAGAAUGCAGACAUGGUUCGUAGUUGAGACCCCUUGACCGAUCCAGAGUAGAGUUGAGACCCCUUGACUGAUCCAUAAGUUCACUUGGUAUUCCAGCUUACAAUUUCAGCAGUGCCAUCUGAGCAAGCAGGACAGGAAGUAUGCCAAUUUAAACCACAAUUCAAGCUAUCCCAAUGUGUAGGGUGAAAUACACAAUAAGCAUUAACAGCAACGUCCAGCAGUGACAACAAAUUAAGGGGAAUUUUGCCAGGAUCCUUUGCAAACCGCAAGUUCUCUAUUCCAACCGAUUCACUGAACUUGUUCAAGUCACUGUUGUGUUUGAUCUAGAUGUCCUUCCAAGUAAAUCUGGCAUUUCUUUUUCGAGAUCAGUUUAUCAAUUUCUCGUAUUAUGUUACGGUUUUGCUAAAUCUCAGGCAACUGAGAAAUAAGGAAAUAGCUUAUUUCUUGGUCGAUCUUUUUUCAGCCGUCCGAUUUGCUGAUGCCUCAAGAUUCAUGCCCCUGGCUGCCUGAGCAACGGGCUGACGACUGCCUGCUGCUGUUUGUAUCGGGAAUAGAUGUUGUGGGCUUUUUUAGGUGUGUGUGUUGGACUUUAGAUGUGAGGACGGGUUUGGAAAUGGGCAUGCUUUUCGUUUUUCUAGGCUCUCACGUGGUUACUGGCACCAUCCUGAGAAAAAAGAUCGAUGGAGGGGAGACGGAAAGUCCCAUGAGCAGUGCCCGUCGGUAAUUUUUGAUUUCAUUUUUAUUGGCAAUGUGUUUUUAGUGUGAAAUUUUAGUUCAUUUUUAUUUUUUACGAUACCCCAACUCAGUUGCACAUUCGAAUGAAAAAUGUGCAACUAAUAUUAUUUUUGACUUCUCCCUAUAUAACAUACUAAUCCGCGAUGUGUUUUUAGGGUGAUUCUGAGUUUACUUUUUUUUUAUGAAAACCUAGCUUGGUUGCACAUUCUAAUGAAAAGUAUGCAACUAAUUUUAUUUUUUUGGUGUUUCUCUAUAUAUCAGAUGAAAUCUAGCGUAGUUGUACAUUGGGAGAUGUAAGUUAGUAGCCCAGUUGCGCGCUUUGAGUUCUAUUGUGAAACUCUCUUUUUUUUGGCAUGGGGAACAAGAUGUGUUUCUGUGGUGGGGGGACCUUAAUAGGUUACGAAGCUCAGUUGCACAUUCCGACAAACAAUGUGCAACUAAGGCUCUCUUUGUGUAUUUUCCUAUAUGAACUUGGUGCUUUAUUUUUGUUCAAUAUUCUUUUUGACAAAUCAGUAAAGAUCAAAUAAUCUCAAUUCAUGGAUAUUAGGUAGUAGCCUACUUGCACAUUUCAAGUCAAAGUGUGCAACUAGGUUUUUUUCUUUCAACGGGGUGGCGUCGUAAGGCAUGCAAAUAGGGCUGCUACGGGUGCUUAUUGAAUGUGUUUUUAGUGUGAUUUUGAGUUUCACUUUUAUUUUUACGGAACCCACAUUCGAAUGAAAAAUGCGCAACUAAUAUUAUUUUGAUUUUUCCCAGUAUUUGAAAACCCUAUAUGAAAUCAUAUAUUGAGCGUGAUUUAGAACUUAGUUGUUUUAAAACACUAGCUAAGUUGCACAUUCCGACAAACAAUGUGCAACUAAGGCUCUCUUUGUGUUUUUGUCCUGUAUGAACUUGGCAUUUUUAUUUUUGUUCAAUAAUCAUUUUGGCAAGUCGGAAAGGAUCACAUAAUCUCAACCCAUGGAUAUUAGGUAGUAGCUUAGCUGCACAUUUGGAGUCAUAGCAUGCAACUCGGUUUUUUCUCUUUCAACAGGGCAGCAGCGCAAGGCAUGCAAAGAGGGAUGCUGUGGGGCGCUUAUUGGCGAUAUGUUUAGUGUGAUUUCGAGUUCAUUUUAACUUUUAGGAAACCCAACUCAGUUGCCCCUUUGAAUGAAAUACGCGCAACUAAUAUUAUUUUUUGACUUUUCCCUGUAUAUUAUAUGAAACCCUAUAUGAAAUCAUAUAAUUGAGCGUGAUUUAUAGAGCUCAAUUGUUUUACGAAGCACUAGCUAAGUUGCACAUUCCUAUGUGUGUUUUUAUGUAUGAACUUGGCGUUUUUAUAUUUGUUGAACAUUCUUUUUGACAAGUCGGAAUGGAUCACAUAAUCUCAACCCAUGGAUAGUAGGUAGUAGCUCAGUUGCACAUUUCGAGUCAUAGAUUGCAACUCGGUUUUUUCUCUUUCAACAGGGCGGCGGCGCAAGACAUGCAAAGUGGGAUGUUGCGGGCGCUUAUUGGCGAUGUGUUUUUAGUGUGACUUUGAGUUUAUUUUUACUUUUAGGAAAACCAGCUCAGUUGCACAUUCGAAUGAAAAAUGCGCAACUAAUAUUUUUUUUUGGCUUUUCCCUCUAUAUUAUAUGAAACUCUAUAUGAAAUCAUAUAAUUGAGCGUGAUAUUGAACUCAAUUGUUUUACGAAGCACUAGAUAAGUUGCACUUUCCGACAAACAAUGUGCAACUAACGCUCUCUUUGUGUAUUUUCUUGUAUGAACUAGGGGUUUUCAUUUUUGUUCAAUAUUUUUUUUCACAAGUCGGAAAGGAUCACAUAAUCAUUUCAAGUCAUAGCGUGCAACUCGGUUUUUUCUCUUUCAACAUGGUGGCGACGCAAAGCAUGCAAAGAGGGUUGCCGCUGGGCACUUAUUGGCGUUGUGUUUUUCAGUGUUAUUUUGAGUUAAAUCUUUUUUACAAAACCCAGCUCAAUUGCGCAUUAGGAUGAAAAAUGUGCAAGUAAUAUUAUUUUAGGAUGUGUCUUGGUACCUAUGUUUUUUUGGGUGAGUUGCACAUUACCUCUCCAAAUGUGUAAUUAAGUUUUUUGAGAUGUGAAUUGCACAUUAACUCUUUAUAUGUAAUUGAGAUUUUUGUGUGUGGGUUGCACAUAACUGAAACUUAAUAUAAUUUUUUGGGUGAAUUGCACAUCACUUCUCCUAAUGUGCAAUUAAUUGUUUGGGUUAGUUGCACAUUAAAUAUAUUGAUGUGCAAUUGAGGUUGUUAAUGUGUGAUGUGUGUAUGACUGAGAUUUAAACGUAUUUCUUCAUUGCUGAGACUUAAGAGAAAUUUUUUUAAGUGAAUUGCAUAUCAUCUCUCCUAACGUUCAAUUUGUUUUUGUGGGUGAGUUGCACGUUAAGUAUAUUGAUGUGCAAUUGAGUUGUUUUAUGUGUGAUUUGUGCAUGACUGAGAUUUGUAUUUUUUCACGACUGAAACUUGAGAGUAUGUAUUUAUGUGAAUUGCACAUCACCUCUUCUAAUGUGCAAUUUUUUGGAGGGUGAGUUGCACGUUAAGUAUACUGAUAUGAAAGCGAGUUAUUUUAAUUGUGAUUUGUGCAUGAUUGAAAUUUAACUGCAUUUCUUCGCGACCGAGACUUAAGAGUAUUUUCUUAGAUUAAUUGCACAUCAUCUCUCCUAAUGCGCAAUUUAUUUUUUCAUUUUUUUCUUACAUGCUUUUUUUUGGUGUUAAUCACAACGGUUGGUGUGAGUUUACUUCAUCAAAGUCUUUAUCUUCCAAUAAUUCUCUCUAGACGGGACCCAAGUCGCACAUUUGUUUUUUCUUUUUUGCUAGAAUUGCUUGGUCCGUUUUUCUUUUAUGUGUUGUCUUUCAAUCAGAAAAAGAAAAGAAAAAAAAAGCCCACACAAGCAAGCAAAGGCCCAGUCGGAAGGUGGGAUUUGGCUAAUACACACACGCACACCCGAUAUACCAGCCCAAAAAACAGCCCAGCUAGCCACAGACAAAAAGGCCAAACAUGGCAAGCCCAAAUAAGAAAAAGCCUCCUCUAAAAAAAACAAGAAAAAGCCCAAACACUCACCGUACGUGCGCUGAGGAGAUCGUGGGGAUCGAUCCAGAUUUGGGCUACGCAUUGACCGAGAAACUGUUGUUUGUCUGUCGCCUGAGCGAUAGUCGGACCCAUUAUGUUAACCAAGGUGAUCAGUAGCACCUUGCUGAAUUAUUGCCUCCCAUCCACGGUCUUCCGCGGCUUCCAUGGGUUUGUUAGGGUGUGUACAAUGAGAUGAUGUCAGCCUUUUCUUAACGAUGUCACAUAGGAUAAUUGCUGACGUAGAAAAGAGAGGAAUGAAAAAAAAAGGCUUGAGCCUUCUCUUAAUUAAAAGAUGAUCUCUUCACAAGAAUGAUAAGGCAAUUUUCCAUUAUACGAGAUUUCACAUUUUUCUUAACAUUUAUUUAGUUAAUUUAUUCAUCAAAGCAUUAAUUGUAAAAAUGACACUAAGAGAUACCUAUUGUACAACAUGUUUUAUUGUCUUUUUUAAAUGACGUGUAACACAUAAGAAAAGACAGUUUUAUCAACCAUCGUACAUCCCCUUAUACCUAUAUCGUAUCAAGUUACAAUCUGUGAGUUGUCUGCAAGCAUGUCCCAUGGUUUCCUUGAAGAUCAUCUCGGGUACAACAAAACUAUCUGGACACAGUGCAGGCUGAAAAACCUGCAGAUAAGCACAGUAUUGUGACAAGCUGUUGGAGAAGAGUUAGUAUUCAACCAUCUGGUUUGGAUAUAAACAGCUUUUACAAUAUGCCAACAAUUUUUGUUGGGCCUGUCAAGGGCUUAUGGCUUAGAAUUUGCAACCAUCCUGGAAAUCCUGUCCAUAAGCUACGUUUAGGAUUCCAAAUGGCAGCAGCACGCCUUUAUAUAUAGUUAGAAAGGCCGAAAUUUUGCCUCCAUAUUAUUUGAUAUUUCUUAUAAGUCGUCUAAAAUGCAUAAUAGUAGCUGCUUACAAUUCGAUGAAGACAUGUUCAUAUCCGAGGAGUCGGAAAGAAGUUGAAACCAGACAAGACCAACAGCCAUGAAUGAAUCACACACACAGCCAUGAAUAGUGCUGAUCACUUGAUCAGGCAGCGUUGAGGUCAACAGGGUCAAGAAGCUGCUGGCCAUGGUCGGUGUCUGCACCGAGGAAGCCGGCGUGCGACAGCAGAGCCCAGAGGUGUGUCGUCAGCUCUCCCCGCCCUUGGAGGUGUAUCCGAUGCUUGGCCGCUAUUGUGGACGCCGACAGGUGCAGGAGGAACCCUGCCCAAAACUUACCUAGGCUCUCCCACAGGUCCUCCUUGUCGACGGCACCAUAUGUGGACAUGAGCUCCAUCGACAGCUUCGUGCCGAUCUUGAUGAUAGACGGGCCAUUCUGCUCGUCAGGCACCCACGCCGCCGCGACGAGCGUGUUGUGGACCUCCCCCAGCGUGCGGCAACCCCUCAAAUCGUAGUUGGCCCCUUCACGCACAGCGUCGAACACCUUGUCGGCCACAAGCCCGUUAUCCGGCACCAACGCCUCCGUGACCAGGUAGGCACAGUAGUUGGACAGGCUCACCACCGUGGCAUAAUGCGCCUCGAGGCCCCGAAGUAGGGUGGACGGCAGGUUCAGCAUGUACAGGUCGCCUGGGGAUCCGGUGGCUUCCUCUCCCAGCAGCAGCAGCAGCAGCUUGAUCUGGCAGAGGCUGGUGGCAACAUGCCAGACCAGAACCUUGUGGGUGUCGCCGGCCUUGAGUGCGUGGUAGAUAGUGCUGAUUUUGGACUGCAACGAUCUCUUUUCAGCGAAGGCCUUCCAAUGGUGCGACAUGAGUAAUUUGUUUCUCUUUUUCUGAGCCAGAGAUGCAGAUGAUGAAUUGUUCGUCUUCCCAUCUUCCGCCAAAGAAGACGCGGCACUCAAGGCUUGGUUUAGUGACUCAAAUAUCACCUUCUUUAUAUUGCUUCCCAGCUUGACCGACCUGGCAAAGCAACGAUAUAUGUGUUCAUCUUGAAAGAUAAAACUACAAUCUGUUCCAAGCUACAUUUAUCUGUACACUUUGGAUCAAGUUAUGUACUACUCAUUUGGGUGGUGGUAAAUUAAGAAGGGAAAUGUGUUGUUAAUUAGAGUUGUAUAUACCUUGAGCGAAGUCGUCUGUUUGGGGUGGUUUUAACUUGAGCUCCAAUUAGUAGGUUGUACUGUUGGAUCUUCUCAUCCCAUUGUCCCCUCCAGACAAGCCAGAACAUGAUCCUUGCCGCCUUCUCUGUCAUCCAGCGCUGUAGCAUCGGCACCCACCCUGUUGGACGCUGUUUCUGCCGGAUGUAGUUGCAGACGAUCAACACCUUGGUCCACUGUGACAGCACGUAAACGCCAAUCUCCCACAUCUCCCUGCAGACCAUGAUCAAGAUGAUCCAGCGUGUGACCAACACACCAUGGGUGAUCUUGGCGAGGCGGCCGCCGGCAGUGACGGCGGUGGUUUCUCGAGGCAGGUCAUGGACAGCGUAGGCCAGGUACGAGGCUGCCGAGGUCAUGAGCAGCGACAGCAUCAACCUCUGCGUGGGGAAGCCGGCGGCAAAGACGACGGCGUGUUUGCUGUAGGACAAGUCCUGGAGGAAAGAAAGCUCGACCUCCGUGACUCGGAACACCCUCUCGUGGUUGUCAUCGAGGAUAAUUUGGGAUAUGAGCCGCCUCAUGGCCGGGUGGUCGGCCUCCGGGAUGGGGAAGUCAAAGAAGCGGCGGCGGAGAAGCUUGUAGAGUGCGAAGGAGAGGCACACGUCCUUGAACCGUCCGUCGGCAUCCUUGCUGAGCAGCCUGUCGCCGCUGUCAUGGUGGCUCCACACCUUAUCCAGUGUGAUGAGCUCCUCUGGCCUCGUAUUGUCCAGCUGGAACCUAAAGCUAGGCCUCUCGAUCUUCUUCACCUGCUCAUCUUCGCCGAGGACCAAAUACCUGUACCCGACCAUUGUCUUUGGGCAGGCGUCGUGGUCAGCGUGCUGCGACGAUGAUGACGCCAUGUAGUCGCCGACGAGCUUCAUGUUGUCGGUGCUGGCACCCUCUGCGCUGUCAGAUGACACGUAGUACCAGAUGAUGCGCGAGGCAUGGAUGGACCAGAUGAUCCAGAGGGGUACCUUGAGGUACAUGGCCGUCUUGGCCCGGAGCUGGUUGGCCGACCACAGUGAGGUGAGCAGGUCGACGGUGGACAUCUCCUGUGGCUUGUACGGCCGUCCAAUGCUGACGCUAUCCUGCAUGGUGACGAUGAGCACGGCCCAUACCUGGAACAGGUCGUUGGUUGCAGACCCUUGCUCGGAGGUAGACGGCUGCAUGAGCCCCAGGCUGUAGCUCACGGAGUAGUGGCUGAGAAUCCGCAGGAUCUGGACGCCCGGGUUCACGUACUGGGAGGACACCAUGAACCGGGGCCCCAUGGAACCCACGGCGAACUUCACCAGCAACAGCCACGUCGACGCCAUCACCCAAAACUCCACGCUGGCGGCGCGGGUCGUUGGGUCAUGACGGAACAGCUCUCGCACCGUCUCGAGGAUGGAUUGAAGGAACUCGAACAACAUGUUAUUCGCCGGCAUCAUAUAUCUCUUGAUCGGCGAUGACAACGACGACGACGCACUAGCUAACUAGCCUCCUCAAUUAGUGAGAAAGCUAAGUACUCAUCAGUUAGCUAGCUACUGCCUACUAAUAUUGUUCUCCCUGACGUACAGGCAGCGCGCCCCUAGACCUGAUCAGAGCAUCUAGCUAGAGCUCUCUUAGUCAAGAUCCGUACGUUUUUCCAGAUCACGCAAAAUAUAUUAGCCACUUACUCGAAAUACUAUGUUCUUGACAAUAUAAUUGUAAGGAGUGACUAUCCACACACCGUCGUGGUUCUGUUCUUGUAUGCUUUUAGUUAGCCAGUGUUUCUAGAUCUGGAUCAACCAUUUGUUUCUGAAUGAAUAAUAUAUAUGGGGACUUGACUACAGCUUGGCGUUUGUUUAACAAAGGUUUAGCGCAAUCCAAAAGAUUCCCCUGCAUGGAAAGCUUCAGAAAAAGCGCCCCGUGGUUGACAUAAAAUGUGACAUCACACAUUCGUCCAUGAAUUACGUAGCAGAAAGUACGUAGUGGGCAAUCUAAAACACUGAGAUAGUCAAGCAAGUUAAAAAUUCGUGACCAGUAGGGAGACGUGAAUUGCCACAUGACAAGGUUUGUGAAGGACUUGAGAUUUUGGUGUAGUCCGUGUCAUUCUAAACCACACAUUUGGAGCAUCUUCUUUUCCUAUUAUCAUGAGAGUAUUGUUUGACCUUCUGUGUUUCCCUUAGCUUUACUGAAGAACCCUAUGACUUGUACUAUAUGCCAAUUGGCAACUGCAUUUGCAUCUGCACGUGACUAACAUGACUUCCGGGUCUACUCCAUCUGGUCUUGAUAUUUGUUCUGACAUAAAAUAUUCAAGGCAAUACAGGAACAAUGAUCUUUCAAUGUAAUACAUGCAUGUAAGAGGGGAGUUUUUCCCUUCUCUUUUGGUUCUUUUUUAUUUUUGCAGUCUCCAUCUCCUACACGUGCACUCCUAGACUUGUGUUAAAAACAAUGAAUUGGUGAAGAAUCUUGUUUAUAUAUGGAGCAAUAGUAAAAUCCUGGUUCGACAGUGGAAGCAGAUAAAUAAUUUUGAAUCACUUCCACUUCGCCUACUAGCUAGCUAGCUAGUUGCACUAUUUCUCUUUUCUGCUUGCAGGCAUCUCACGUGAACAAGAAGACUGUAAUUAAUUACCUACUCUGAUUUGGAGGCCAUACGCUGGCUGCAGCUCCCCAAGAAGAAGAAGAAGAAACCCUUUCCUCUACGGGAUCAGAGGCAAGAAGGGUUGUUUGGCCUGGGCAGCAUUUCAAUCAGGUAUACACAUGUAUUAGCUAAAUAUGUUGUUCUGCUGUUUGCCGAGCCUUAAAAUUAACUUGAUAUUUGAAAAUGUUCCAUUUCUACAUCUUUUGGUCAGUUCGAAACUUCAGCGAGCUUAAAAAGAUGAAGAUGGUUGACGUCGGCGGAGUGAUUGCAUCCUUAUUCAUCAUGCUGAAAGAGGACAUCUAUGUCCUGAUCCGCAUUGAAAUCCUGGUGACACUGGUGACGGCGAUGUUCCUGGUGAUGUUCAUCAUGGACUUCUACCGGUGCCGGUCUCGUGGCUCCAUCAUCAUCACGGCCUUGAAGACCGUCGAUGGGCUGUCCGAUCAGAUAGUGGUGUAUCUCCUAGGGGUGAUGCAAUCUGCAGAAUUCGAUAACCAUCUCUUUGCGGUCUGGGCCGUGGUGCUGGUGAGCCUCCGUGCGAGCCUCGGCUACCUCUCCGGGUACGGCAUCCCAGACCGCGAGCGGCGGCUCACUGAGGUGGCAAACGUGGCAAAGUUCCUGGCGGUAGGAAUAUUGAAUGGGACACGCCGCUUGGAGUUCACCAAACCACUCUGGUCAUUGUGGGCCAUUCUGCUGCUAAGGAGCCUGUAUAAAUUUUUUGCCGGUCAGAAGGCUAUAUCAUCCUUGUGGCAUGGCCGGAGCUCGGAGUUCCUCCCUGAGUACAUGCGUGCCUUGCCCGACGACAGUGAAGAGAGCAGCACUGACAAUGGUCCUCAAAAGUACCUGAUUUACGGAGAGUACAGACAGAAGAUCGACUUGAAGAGGCCUGGGUAUACUCUGCAUCUUAAAACCAUCGAAGAGAAUUCGCUCAUCACACUGGACAAGGUGACAAAAUGCAAGGAGCAGCUGAUGAGAUCUGACAGCAGAUACAAGGAUAUGACCAUUGCCUUCACACUGUCCAGGCUGCUUCGCUGUAGGCUUGAAGACGUGACGCUGCACAGAGAGAAAGCUCUAACGACACAACACCUAAUCACUUCAGAGAUCACCGUUGGUGGGCUGGACAGCAACGCAGAGAGAGCAUUCAGAAUCCUGGAGCUGGAGCUUGCAUUCGUCCGAGACUACUUCUACACCCUUUACCCGAUGGUCUUCUGGCAAGGUCUUUUUUCUCUUUGUUUCAGCCUCCUCCUUUCCAUGGCGACCUUUUCUGUCGCGUUUUGGCUGGCCCUGGGCAUCCGCGAGGUCUACCAACCCCCUCAAGAAACACUUGUGCUCUGGGUGCGUGGAUGGAACGUGGAUGCUGUCAUCACAUGGGUGUUCUUGUUCUUCAUGAUGUUCAAGGAGGCCUGGGAGAUGGUCACAUACGUGCUAUCAAACUGGACAAGGUUACUCCUUGUGUGCAAGUACGUGCAGAAGAGCUCGCCUGAUGCUCUCAUGGAGAAUCUGACAAAAUCCAUUUUCAAGUCCAAAAUUGCCAACCCAUGGCACGGUUGCAUCGACCAGUAUGACUUCUUGGAGUCAUAUACUUACAAGCCAUCCUUUUGGAAGCUGGCAAAUGCCCUUUCCAUGGGUAAGGUUCCCAAGAAAACUGAUGGAAAAAAGUGUGGCAAAGCUAUCAAGAUCCCUCAAUGUGUAAAGCCAGCAAUCCUAAAUGCGCUCCUCCGCUUAGGCCUCAACAGCCCUCAGCUGCCCAAAGAAAUCCCAUAUCUGACGCAGAGUGGCUCACCAGUCGAUCAGUUCACACGGUACAGCUGGGCCUACCUUGAGCUGCAUACAUGCUCUCAGGUCAUUCUGGUGUGGCACAUAGCGACCAGCCUCUGUGAGAUCAAGCUUGCACAAGAUCAUGGAAUUGAUUUAACCAACCCUGGGUUCCUGCGGUCUGCCUGGUCGUAUCUGUUGUGCCGCUGCACUUCGCAGCCAUACCUUGUUGGCAAGAGCAGCAAUCUGCAUGAAUCACUGGAGACUAAUUACCAUGUCGCGAAAAGCUUGUCACAGUACUGUGCUUAUCUGCAGGUUUUUCAGCCUGGACUGUUGCCAGAUAGUUUUGUUGUGCCCGAGGUGAUCUUUGAGGAAACCGUGGGACAUGCCCGCGAACGACUCACAGAUUGUAACUUGAUACGAUGUAGGUAUAACAAACUCAUGGAAGCCGCAGAAAACUGUGUGGAUGAGAGGCUCAGUAUGAACAUAAUUCAGCAAGGUGCUACUCUAGGCAAGGAUCUCAUCAAAUACGAGGAUGAAGAAAGCCGUUGGAAGAUUCUAGCUGGAGUCUGGGCUGACUUACUUGUGCACAUCGCCCCCAGCUGGAAUGCAGCAGAUCACAAGAAUAGCCUCGAGGCUGGAGGCGAGUUCAUAACCCUCGUGUGGGCAUUGCUUUGGCACUGUGGCAUCGAGAAGAGCAGCUUGUGGGACAAGGGCGAAGCACCUGGAAGAAAUGCUCCAGUACCUCUGGAAAAUAAUAGUACUGGAACCAGCAACAGUCAACCCGAGGAGGGGCAACAAGUAUCUGAAAUCAAUGCUCAAGUGCUUCAGGGAAAUAAUACUGAAACCAGCAGCAUUCAGCCUGUGGAGGAGCAACCCGAUGAGGAUGUUACUGCUGAAACCGACAACAUCCAGCCCGUGGAGGUGCAACCCGAUGAGGAUGUUACAUCGAAUCAAACUCAAAGUGAGACUGAAGAAAUAUCUCCGAGCAACUCCACGAAUUAGCUUCGCCCCCCAUGCUAUGGUAAGUCUUCUACCUGUACAUUCUUUUUACCAUUAACAUGUAGUAGUAUGCUAACGUUAUGAUGAUUCAGAACAAGAAGUGGCCAAUUCGUUGGAAAGACUCCUGGAGCAAGGGAAAGAAGCACCUUGAACAGGUACACUUCAUUGGUUCGAAGUGCAAACAAAGGACUAGCGGUUUGUAAAUUAUACGCAAAUUAAGUAGCCUUGUUUGGCCCUGAAUUUGUUGUCAUCUAGCUGGAUGUUGUUGUUAAUGCUUCUUACUGUUGUCUUUGAUUGCUUGUUCUGUAUUAUCACCCGGCACUGCAGGAUAAGCUUGUAUCAUGAUUUACUUUGCAAUAUUUUCUGCCCUGCUUGCUGCGUCGGAUGGCAGCGGGUUGGAAGUUGAUACUCUUUUCUUCUGUUUUCUCUAUGGCAAACUUUCCUGCAAACUCUUGUUUAUGUUUUUUUUUCCUCCAUGAAAGUGGUCCUAUAUGCCUCUUGCCUAAAAAACUUAGUCCUAUUUAACAACUGUGCUUCCAAUGGGCGCAGACAGUCCCUCAUUUGCAAGUUCACAGCUUGCAGGCCACGGCGUUUUUUGGUCUAAUCCUUAACCAAUCCAGAUUCCUAGUGAAACGCAGUGUUGUGAACUUCGGACCAUGUCUGCAUUUUCUGAAGGUGGUGAGCUUGCAUAGUCCACACAUUAGUUUUUUGCUUUCAGAUUGCAAACAAGUUGGAUUCGGUGUUCUGAGAACCCAACUCUUUCAAGAAAUUUUCAGGUAAGAACUUGUCUCAUCUCUCUACCUCUAUUCUAACCAUUGAUCGAUCGAGGAAGGUAAGACCAUGGUACUAUUUGUUCCAACUAGAAGUGACAGCUCUAUCAAAACCUUCUCUAGGGAACCAGCAAAAUUCAAAAUAAAAGGGUUUUGCUAUCUUUGGUGGAGUAUUACUGUAAACCAUCAACAGUUACCAGCCUGAUCUGAAACAGAUUUAUUUAAAACAGUAAGAUAAUCACCAUUCCAAAAGUUGUUUACUUAAUUAGGGUGGUAAAACACAGUAUACUUUCUGAUGUCCAUCUCCCAUCGGAGUACGCUGAUGAUCUCAACCUGUAAUUUAACAACGACUGACACACUGGCUACAGUGCCCUCUCAAGCUCAUCAAUGCCGGCGCUAGCUAGCAGCAGCACUCUCAUCACUGGUUUUCACUCACAGGCGUUGAAGCUUGAUGCGAUUAGGAUCAGUAGCUGUAGUUCUUGACGAACAUGCCUUCCUUGGCGGCGGCGGCCUCGCCGUCGCUGGUGUACUUCCCCAGCUGCGCCAGGGAGUUUGCCUUGGCGCGCAGCAGCAGUGCCUCCUGCGCCGCCGCCACGUUCUCCGGCCGUCCUCCCCACGUCUUCAGGCACGUGUUCUGCAGCGCCCUCGCGUAUGAGAAGGACACGUGCCACGGGUUCGGCGACUGGUUCAUCGCGUUCAGGUUCAGCGUUGCCUCCACCUCUGACUGCCCGCCCGACAGGAACUGAAUCCACCAAGAACAAGAUAUCAUUCAUGAACAAUGGAUAACUAAGAUGAUCCAUGAUUGUGCAUAUGUAUAUGUAUAGUGAAGGAUUGGUUGCUGACCAUGAUGCCGGGGACGGAAGGAGGGAUCCUCCUCUGGAGGAGCUUGAGGGUGUAGCUGGCGACUUGCUCAGGGGUGGCCCGCUCCUUGCACUCGGCGCCGGGUGUCACCAUGCUGGGCUUGAGGAGGAUGCCCUCGAACAAGACGUUGUUCUGGGCCAUGUAGUAGAAAGUCUCCGCCCACACCUUCUGCGCCACCUCGAAGGUCCUGUCGAUGCCGUGCUCGCCGUCCAGCAGGAUCUCCGGCUCCACAAUCGGCACCAGACCGUUGUCCUGGAACAUCAAGAAACCAGAGGUUUACAUGUUGUUACAAAUUUUUAAAAUGUCAUACCUGACCAUUGUACUGUAAAAUGUUUUGGUCUGUCGGAAAACGGCAAGAAUGAAUACCUGAGAGAUGGCAGCGUAACGGGCAAGACCCCAUGCAGCUUCCUUGACAGCAAGCUCAGAUGGGCCGUUGGGGAUGCUGACGACAGUGCGCCUGCAGGAGAACUUCAUGUCAGGCAUGGAGCUAUGACAUAAUGGAAGGUAAACUGUUCUUGUAGGUACAAGUUUCUCACCACUUGGCGAAGCGGGCGCCUUGCUGGUAGUAGGCUGCCUCACGGGAGGCAAGGCCAUCAAGACCUUGGCACCAUGACUCGUCGUUGGAACCAACGAGUGGCACAAGACCCUGUGAAUGAGCACCGGUUUAGAAGUAUGUUAUGUUUUCUGAACUCGAAAUGAACCCGGGUCAUCUGUUUUAGUUGGAUUUAAAAGUAAAUAUGGUUAUUCUGAUGCAUCCUUAGUAGUAGUAGCGGUCUCUAUCUUUAAUUUGCAUGCUUGUUCUGUUUUACAAGUAUGCCGGCUAUACUUACUUUAGUUCUUAUGCAGCUAUUGGUACAAAAUAAUUUGGAUAUACCUCAUGUUUACACUUCCAUUUGACUAGAGUGAAUUUUCAUGCCGAUGCUGGUGACAGUGAUUUUCUUUCGAAAUUAUCACAACAAUUCCAAAUAUAGGAUUAGUUCUGAUAAAGAACAACAAAAUCAAGUGUCAUUUUGGGGUGAAAUCAGUUGACUGCAUACCUUGUCAACCUUGAUGCCGGGAACGAUUCCCUGCUCGACAAGGAUGUCAACAAUCUUCUUGCCAUCAACAGUCGAUUGGUAGAGGGUCUCCUCGAAGAGGAUAGCACCAGAGAUGUAAUUUCCCAGGCCUGGUGGAGUGACAAGGAGGGUACGGUAAGCCUGGCGGUUAGCCUCAGUGUUCUCAAGGCCAAUCGAGUCAAGUCUCUUUCCACAGGUAGCAUUGGACUCAUCCAUGGCUAGGAUGCCCCUUCCUGGUGAUGCGAUGGUAUUCUGUAGCAGGAAAAAUAAAACUUGAGAGAUCUUCUAAACCAUAAUAGAAAUUUUACUUUUGUAAAGUUGAUUUAUGCUAGUAAGGAUUCAAAGUUCAUAAGUGACCAGUUGUGAUUUGUUAUGACUUACGAACCUUCAGAUCGGUCACUGAGCUUAAGCAGGAGAAUACAUGGAGUUAAAUAAAGAUGCAUCCUGUCUAAUCAUUACAGCUAGUGGUGGGUAACCUGUGUCAUGUAUUAAUGCAGAUCCCUAAUUUAGAACAUAUUACCUAUAUGUUUUAAGUUUCACAAGCCCUUUUUGGUACAACACAGCAGCAAGUAGCAACCAUAUCUCUUUAGCUUGCAGUGAUAAAGAAGAUAGAGAAUUUUACUGUACUGAUGCAGUAUAGACUAGCAUACGUUUGAAAAUGGAGAUUUGGACUAGUGAUUUGGUACAUUUGAAUCGUGAUGGAACCAAAACAGCCAAACAAUUUGCCUUUGCUGAUAUUCUCUUAUAUCUAUCUUGACAACAUAUCUAAUUCCCAUUUCACAGUGCUACCCAUCCAGACUAGACACAUAUGCAUGGAAUUUUUUGGCAGAAUUGCAAGCAAGCAUACCGCGGUCUUGACAAGUUCAUCAGCGUAUGCGCUGGCACGGACAACCAUGGAGACGGUCAUCUGCUUGGGAGUGGCAGCCUGGCGGGUGGCGCCCCAUUCGGACUUCUUGGGAAGGAAAGACGAUUUGAGGAUAGUAGCCGAGGCCAUUGUUUCUGGCUCCAAAGGCAAGAGGAUCAGGUGCUACCCUCUUCUUUGACACAAGCUUGCAAUUGCAGCCUUUCCUUAGGGGGGGUGAGAAGUGAAGCGCCUGCUCAGAUUUAAGGGUGAGUACCUGAGUACAAAGGAUAUGAGUUGUGAGGUGGAGGCUGGCCUUCUGGAUAUGAAUGGCUGUGAUUUGGUUGCUCCAAUCCUCUUGCCACCUUCUGUUUUUGUCCUGGCUCUGCCACAUGCUUGUCUCUAUGAUUUCCUUAGCUUCUCUGUGUACCAUGUAAAAUCUGCAAUACUGGAAUUUUAUCGUUUGCGCUGCACCGUCCAUAAAUAUUAUCUGGACAUUCUUGACCUUAAGGAUGGUCUUGGCUGAUGAACAAUUCUGGGUUUCUGUGGGCGCAUUUCGCCGAGGAGUAGUGCCCAUGAGCAUCUUUCGACGGUUGAGAUGCCCUGAUGUAUUACAUCCAUGAAUUUUGCCAGUAACCAUCAAUUACGUGGAAUACACAGUUUUUUCUGUCAUUGGUUUGGUGAUAACCAUUCCAGCUGUGAGUUGUUUGUAGGGUGCAGGGUGGCUUGUGUGGCAGACACCAUUCUUCUUGUGCCCCAGUGCCUGGCAGCAGAAGGCAUAUCCACCACAACUCCCUGCCAAGGAUGACAUUAAGAGGAUACCAACCAUGUAGCAAUCUUGCAUAUCAUUCCUGGACCUUUGCGACUCCUGAUACAUGAUGAUUUAAAAUUAAGAAAAAAAUCUCUGUUUCUACCCUUACUAAAUAUUAGAAAUUACAAAAUUUUAUAGAAUUUAAUUUCACAAUGCAUUUAGUGGGAACUAGUAGAAAGUAUCACACACUGGCUAUGGAUUAUUUUUAGAGAAACAUGGAUAUGAACAUGCAUUUUUUUUUCAGAGUGAAGAUCUUUCAAAAUAUUAACAUCAGAAAAGAAAUUAGGCACCCUUGUCACUAAUCACCAAAAACAUUAACAUCACAGAGCAAGUUGGUAUAUGGAACCUACUGCCCUCAAUGAAAAAGGACACAGAGUACCAUGAAAGGGAUUUUACUACUAUUGAAUAACAAAAGCUGAUAGUUACAAAUUGUUCACAAGUACACAAGGUUGGCCUACUUAAAUCAGAUGAUCUCCUAUAACUCGGGAGAAAUACAUCCAAGACUCCCUGCUGUGGUGUAUGUGCCUUUUUCUGUAAAGAGUAUGAGCAUGCCUGAACAAAAAAGUGAAAAACAUCCACUAUCACAAGCUUCAUAUGCACCAGACCUUAACUCUGAUCACCAUCGUUUAAUGCAUCUACUGUGCAGCUGUAUCAUUUCUUUCAUCAGUUCAGGCAGAAGAUAGGUUUGCACAGACAAUUAUUUCCUUUGCUGCCAGCACAUAAAUUCAUCACAUCUGAAGCUAACUUGUAAUGAAGCACAGGAAGCACAGUCUAUCCUUCAGUUUAAUGCAUUCUAUCCUCCGUAACAAACAAAAGAUACCAUGUGUUGGGCUGCAUAUCAAUCGAAGGUACCAUAAGUUCAGUUGUUUCAACCAGCAGAAAUUGAAAAUCAAGCAUCAUGCGUGAUCUCCAUUUACUCUGGCAUUAUGUAUUUGGUUGAACACAAAUGAAGUUAACUUCUGAUUUAAUCUGACUGUCAGGGCAGCCUCUGAUGGGAGUGUUUCUCCAUACAUACCGGGUGGACCGUGGCUGGUGAGGUCCAGGUUUGUAGCUCCAGAAGGCAAGCAGGGGCCAAGUUCCUUUCUCUUGCUUGUUCAAAAGAUGUGUUCAUCAAUCUCCACUCCUUGUGAAUUGUGAUACUCGUAAAGCCUUGCGAUUCCUCUGCUUAUUCUUUCCUUUCCAGGAACAUACAAAAGUACAAAUUGCUGGGAAACUAGUGCUGGCUGUAGUUCAUUCUGGACAUAGAAGGUUGUGACAUCUAGUUUGAGCAAACUCUCUUCAACUCUGCUGCUUUAGAAACCUCAUUAAUCUGUUUACCACAAGCUUCUUCAGCUGCUCCAGGACUGCUACUAGAUAAAAAAGCCACAAGCUUCUGCCUCAGCAAUGGCGAUAGCUUCUCGCAGCACAUCAACACGUCCAAUGAAGGAACCACUCCUUUCUUCACCAGCACUGUAAAUGCGCACCUCACGCACUGUGCAAUGGCCUCCUUCCUCCGAACCUCAUAGUUAUCGAUCAGAAGAAACAAGAACUCAAGCAGCAUGUUUGUGAUAUCUACAUACUGAGAUACCGAGUUCACCAUCAGGAGCAUUGCAGGCUCGAUGUUCAUGACAUUACCCUUAACCUCAUCGAAAAACAACCAGUCAUAGAACAGUGCCAACUUCACAUUGGCCGCGACGUAGCCCUUGCUGCAGCUCGUGAGCAACCAGCCGAUGAUUGCCCAGCGGGCAAUGACGCCUGACUGUAUGACCUCGUUCGUCGGGUGGUACCCGCAGCAUAUGAACCGGACAAUGUCCGGUACCCUCUCCUCCCCUCCAGGCACCAUCAAGUGCUUCCUCGCAAACCAAAGCUGGUACCUCUUCUGACUCCCCCACUUCACAUUCUUCAUAAGGAACAGCAGUUGUAUCUCCAUCUCCGGCGAGAUCGCCAAUGCUGUGCACCAACCGGGCGUGCUGACCCAGCCAAUGUCCACGGCGGCACGCUCCGACAUCAGGUCUUUCCACAGUCCCUGGAACUCCGGCACGAGCACCAGUUCAUGGAGUGACAGCACGAGGUCCCUCCCGAUCAGCGAGCAUGGUUGGAAGUGAUCCCGGAGCACAGAGACGCAGAAGGACACCAGCUUCUCCCUGCAUUCUUCGAGGUUCUUCACGUGCUUGCAUUCCUCACAGUUGUUGACGCACUCGGCGCGAGGAGAGGGGAGGACCGGAUCGAGGCGGUUCCGGGCGAGGAGGCGGAGGAAGGCGAAGACGGCGGAGGCGAGGAGCUGGGGCUCCUCGGCGGCGAGAAAGGGGGAAUUGUCACGGAUGAUAUCGAGGAGGCGGGCGUCGCCAUGGAAGGGCACGCGGCGGAGGAGGGAGAGGAGGAGGGGCGCGAACCCCGGCGCGGCGGCGCGGGCGAGCUCGGCGGCCGCGAGGAGGAGGCGGGCGCGGGGGUGGGGGAGGAGGAGCGGGAAGGGGAGCGAGAGGAGCGCGGAGGCGAAGGCGGAGUAGAAGGCCGGGAAGCGGGCGCCGGCGGCGUGGAGGAGCACGAGGAGGCGGCGCGGGAGAGGGGAGGAUGGGUCGGUGAGGAAGGAGAAGGCUAGGGCGUGCGGGAGAUGCGGGGAGGAGAGGUCGGAUGCGGACGGGGUGGGGAGGAGGAGGUGCGCGGCGAGGAGCGGGUGCUCCGGGGAGGACGGGGUCGUCGGGGACGGAUGGUGCUCGCCGCCGGCCAGCAGUCGCGGCGGCGCCAUUGGAGAUGCAGCAGAUUUUGGGCUUGUAUUUAGGGGUAUAGAGGGGAUUUUGGAUAGGUCAUCCACAUAUAAAACGGCCCACACACAAGACCCUUUUGCCCAAAAAAAGUACUUUUUGCUCUAAAAAAAAGUACUCCUCUAAAAAAAGUACUUUUGCUUGUAUUUGAGUAGUAACAAAAUUAAAUGAGAAUCCACCUUUAAAGAAACAAAUCCUGUCAAAAAAAAUUGAAUCAUAAUUUUUACAUUAAGAAAGAAGCAGAAUUUUCUUCUAAAUCGAUAUUUUUAAACGGUUCAGUUUUAUCUUUUUAUGAAAAAUAUAAAUAUUUACAGCGUAUUAACACAUGGCAAAAUUAACACCUAAUAAAGUUCAGUAAAUAAUCGUUUUUAUUUAGGUGUUAUUUUGCGAACUGAAUGAAAAGAACAUAAUGCUAGAACAUGAUAGUAGAAUGUAUGCACUAGCAAAAAAAAAUGCAAUGCAUCCAUCCUACUGACAGCUGAUAAGAAUUCAACAUGUUGCUUCCUGUUUAUAAGGAAUUUCAAACCUGUAACCCACACAGAGAAGCAGGAUCUGAACAAAUUGGAACUACAUUGGCAUUUAAGGCUUUAGCAUGAACCUACUGCACUUGUACUUUGACAGGGAACAGAAACAUUGAUACUAAUCCCCAGCUACCACCAACCAUGUUCAACAACCUACAAUGACAGGAAUACAUAUAACAGUUGGUUCAAUGUUCAUCGCAUUAUAACCUCCACUCCAGCAUCUAAGAUUUGGUUACAAGGUAGACAGUGCGCCAUUUCUCCCCCACUCUAGCUACUGCCACGAAAAUCCAUCUCUCGGAUUAGUCCAGUUGAUGAGGCACGCAAAAACUUCCAGAAAAUGGCAUCCACCGGGCCUGGCAUUUCCUUCCUGUGACGACGAGUUAGUUGUUGCUGGGAUUCAAGAUGUCGCCGAGAUUCAGAUGCAAGCUGUUCCUCAUGGUACGCCUCCCUGUGGCGCCGGCAUUGCCCUUCCUCAUCAUCGCCGUGAACUCGCUGUAAUCGAUUUGCCCAUCCUGGAAACAACAGCAGAGGGGUUAAUUGCUGAUCGGACAAGUCAGGAAUUGAACAAAAACAAGUGCAUGGAGAUGGGAUGGAGUAGAUUCAAGUAUCAAGAAGACUGACAUUGUUCUGAUCGACAUCUUUGAUCAUAUCCUCAAGGUGGACGUCAUCCAGACCGAAUUCAUGGCAUGCUUGUGAUAGCUCGUCGAUGGUUAUGAAGCCACUUCCAUCCUUGUCGAAAAAUGAGAAUGCUGAUACCAAGUUCUCCUCCCUCUCCAGUUUGUUCAUGUGCAAUGUAGCUGCGAGGAAUUCACCAUAAUCGAUAGUACCACUGUUGUCGAUAUCCGCCUUAAACAAAUACACAGGUACCAUUAAAAACCAUAAAAUCCACAAGUUGUGGUAAUUAGAGUGAAGGAAUCAUUUAUUCAGCUGGUAAAGAAGCACCUACUGCAUCCAUUAAAGCCUGGAUUUCAUGUUCGGUCAAUUCUGAGCCCACUCUUUUCAAGCCAUCUUUCAGCUCAUCAAAUGUUAUGGUCCCACUAUUGUCAGUAUCAAUCAUUUUGAACAGCUCCUUUAGGCCUCCAAUCUCUUCCUCAGACAGACUUUCAGCAAUAACCUGUAAGAAAAAUGUCUACAGUAUGUGAAAAAGCUCAAGACGACACUGCAAGUUGCGUAUUACGUAUCAACUAUUUGAGCAAUUCUGAAAUCUUCGUCAUGCAUCACUGGUCCAAUACUGCAUAUGAACUAGUUUUUUGUAGCCCAAGCUAAUGAAAAAAAAAGGAUGGGAAACUCGGAAAAAACUGCAAUAACUCCUAUCGUAUGACAGUGUGCUGCUAUGGUAAUAUGGAUCUGAACAAAAUAGUUCUAGAAAGACCGGAAACCAUCUAGGACAAACGAAGUUGAUGGACACUGUACCCCAAUAGAGGAAAGAAAGCAGGCACAUCAAGAGGAUUGAUCCUUCCUUCACUAAAUGUGUAUGGUACAGCAUAAAAAUAACAUUGAGUGGUAUACUCUGUACUCCAAAGAUGCCUGAUCUUAAUUACUAGAACUAAAAAUGGAGUUCCAGCACAAAGAAUGGAGGAGACCUGCAUAGUUAGUUGGCUUGGGUAUAUGAAGCCAUGCUAACAAUGAUGGAAACACAGGUAUUAACUUAGGUUACUUAGCAGCGACUAUAUGGUAACCUAAAUGUGCAGAAUCAGCUACUGCAUUUAAAAAGGGAUAAGUAAAUCUUCAUACCCUCAAUGCCAUCUUCUUGAGCUUGUUCAUUGCAGAAAAAUGCUUCAGCCGUGACAAAACAGCAGAAUCAAUAGGCUUAUCAGGCGCCACAGCAUCAUCAACAAUCCAUGGGUGACCUAACAAAGGGCAGAGGCAAUGCCAGUAUGAGAAGAAAAAAAAUUCAAAAUAUAUCUGUCUGAAACACCUAUACUCAGUCGCUUGAAAGAGUCGUAAGGAAGAGUAGACUUACAGAGAACCUCGUGAGCAGUGAGUCGCUUUGUAGGAUCCCGACAAAGCAUAUUACGGACUAGAUCUUUAGCACUGUCGGAGAUAGUAGGCCAGGGUUCAGAUUCAAAGUCAAGUUUGCCUCGAAGGAUCUGCCUGAAGAUUCCUGCUUCAGUUUCUGAGAAGAAAACAGACAUGACAUUGGAGAACAUGAGAACAUGAGAAUAUGAAGCCCUUCAGUUUGAUGAUUUAAGGGCACAUAGUUUACCUGCCCAAAAUGGGGGAACACCACAUAGCAAAAUGUACAGAAUCACCCCAGCGCUCCAGACAUCAGCUUCUGGCCCAUAGCAUUUCUGAAGCACCUCAGGCGCAACAUAGUAGGGGCUCCCAACAACAUCAGAGAAUUUAUCACCUAAGGAAAUGGAAACACACAUUUCAACAAACUUAGUGUGAGUCAAAGAGAAGCUUUUAGCAAAACGUAAGAGUCAGAACAUACAAAGUAGCAUAAGAGUCCCAGAUGAAAAUAUCAAAUCAAGACUGUAGACUAGAAGAAUAACAACUAGAUUGAUGAUACUGGUAGUAAUGGAUACUACCACGCAUCUUUCAAUAUCUUCCUAACAUGCAGAUGAUCUUAACUUGCUUCCCAGGUUCGAACUAGACUUGGCAGGCCAUAUGAACACACUUCACUUCCCACCCAUGAGAAGAUUACAGAUACUAGAAAUGUCAGGAUCAUCGCAGGAUUAUAUGGUUACUUCCUAAUCAGUAUCUUGCGACCAUCAUCGUAUCCAAAGAAGACUAGUUUUGACAUGCCUUGAAGGUUGCAAGCGGAUAAACCACACGAUGAGAGAAGCACCACCCUUAGCAUUCACUGAUACUAGGAACUGUUCUGAAUUGUGGCAUUGCUUUGGUCAACAACUACAAUAGCUCACAGUGAUUAUCAGUUCAAGAGGAUUCCACUAUCAAAGACAUGCCACAUCAUGACAAGCAUUCUUACUCUAGCAAAAAGAACAAUGUAUGCAAAACAUUAUUGCCAGUUUAAUCAACUUGAUCAUGAAUGUUACCAACAAAGAUCCAUAUGGCCAUUCUAAUGUAUUCCAAUAGAACACAGAGUACUACACAUAAGAGGGCAUCUUCACAUCAAGAACUGCCAAUAUGCACAAUAAAAAAGCACUAACUGCAAAAUUAAGCAAUAUGAAGCAAGGAAACAUAGCACAUACCAGGCUUGUAGAACAUGGAGAGCCCAAAAUCGGUGGUCUUGAGCGGCGCGUCCUCAGCGGUGCUGGCGAACAGGAAGUUCUCCGGCUUGAGGUCCCGGUGCAUGACGCCGAGCGAGUGGCAUCCCUCCACGACCCCGACGAUUGUCCUGAUGAGCUGUGCGGCGGCGCGCUCGCUGUAGUGCCCCUUGGCCACGAUGCGGUCGAAGAGCUCGCCGCCGGCACAGAGCUCCAUGACAAUGUGCACGAAGAGGGCGUCCUCGUAGGCGCCGCGGAUGCGGACGACGUUGGGGUGCUCGGAGAGGUGGUGCAUGAUCUGGAUCUCGCGCCAGGCGUCCUCGUAGUCCUCGCGGCACAGCAGCUUGCGCUUGGGGAUGGACUUGCAGGCGAAGUCGCCCCCGCCCUCCUUGGCCACGCACUGGUACGUGGUGCCGAACUGCCCCUGCCCCAGCUUCUUCCCGAUGCGGUAGUGGUCGCGUACGUUGGCCGUCUUGUGCGGCAGCACCGACGCCGGCCUCCCGGACGACGCCGCCGGCGCGGCGGUCACCGGCGGCGGCAGCGUCGGCCUCGCAGCAUUCGCGCCGCCGCCGCCGGUAGCGUUGCUGCUCGCGUCCGUCUGCAUUGGCGACUCCCCCGGCGCUGACCCUGGAUCAAGAAACGAAGCGAAGUCAGGAAAAUCAGGGGAAAGGCGGCGGCAGGAUGCGAUUCAAGAAGAACCGGUCAAAAAGGGGAAGCUCAUUCACCUCCGAUGGGGGAUUCCGGCGCUUUUCCCCAGGUAUUUCCUACGGAUUACGGCAGAACAACACAGAAAGCUCCCUGGAUCUAGCAACGGGGCUCCGGGAGAUUCUUGGGGGGUUUUCCAACCCAAUCGACGAGAUUAAGAACCAGCCAGGAAGACAAAAGUAGCUUUGCUACGGGAGGUUUAAGACCAAAAAAGCCUGGAGCAAACAAGAUAAGGGAGAAGAAAUCUCGCUCUCACUUUCUCAGGUGUCAAUCAAAUGGGUGGGGGAAGAACAAGAAGAUGCAAUCUCGCAGAAAAGGAAACCACUGUCGAGCUACAACUGCGAGUUGAAGGGAGCAAGUCAGGUCGCACAAAAGGACAGGAUCUUGGUGGUGGUGGCGCUGCUGCUGGUGAUGGCUCCGUCCAAUUCUUUAUAGGAGUUCCUUUUGCGGGGAUGGGAUAUGGAUGACGAAGAUGGUAAUCGCUUUGGUUUCUUGGGGCUGGGAAAUGGUAAAAAGGGGCUGGCUGUGGGUUGGUGAAGAAGGGAGGAAGGGGAUUUGCUGGGAUGGUUAGGUCUAAGGCUUUUCUUUCUCCAUUGGCAAGAAGAGGAAGGAAGGAGGCAGGAAAGGAGGAGGCGGCCACGACGCUGGUCGUCGGAACCUCUCUUCACUGUCUUUCCUUUUUUAUUGUUUCCUUUUGUUUUCUAGAAAAUCUUAUAAGAUCUGCCUAUUUAUUAUUUUUGAACACAUUAAUACCUACUCGUUUAUCAUUGGAAUCGAUUAAAAUAAAAUAAAAAAUAUGUACUUUCAUCAGCAAAUUAAUUUUAUUAAAUACUCACUCCUUCUUAUACUAAGUGACUCAAAUUUUUCUAAAUAUAGACGUAUAUAUACACUAAAAUACGUCUAGAUACAUCUAAUAUCUCGUCACUUGAUAUGGGACGGAAGGAGUAUGUCUUUUUGGUGGGAAAAUUGUAGUAAAUUCAGUAUAAUAUAGUUCAGCGAAAGCAAGCUAAACCCUUAGCAAUGUACUUCCUAAUUCCAAAAUAAAGACUUCACUUAAACCUUGCAAUGGUCAGCAAUAAUUUUUGCGAAAACUGAAAAACCUACAUGUUUCAAACUUGUUGUUGGGGAGGUUAUGACCAUCCUAAACUGAAUGCGAUAUUCUUUUUUAGAAGUUUCAUGGUAAGUACUAAAAAAAGUAUUUAAAAAAAAUGAGGCAAUUGGAUACUGAAUGUUUGUUUACUCCAUCAACUAAAAAUUUGUAUAAAAUGCAUUCUAAAAUUUACUUUCGGUUUCAAUUUACUCCAAUGACGUGCUUUGUACAAUUUUCCACCGUCGUGGCUGCCACACUAGCGAAAGAAGCACAUACAACAUGAGGAACCGAAGUGGCCGGGCAUCAUGUAAUUUUUGUAUUUAGGACCAGACAUUUUGCAAUCUUCACAGCUACGCCUCUCUCAUUUUCUUUAUCUUUCGACACAAGACGACUAAGAAAGUGGUGAACCGUGAGGGGGCAAGCAAGGUACCGGACACGCAUGACUAUCAGCCCGACAUAGAUGGAAUCUUGACAUCGAUGACCUAGCGAUCUUAGCCCAACCAUCAUCAAUCCUCCUCCACUUCUCCUUUCGGUCGACCAUAGUCUGCUUCCAUUUGUCCCCUAGUCAUUACACGUUCAAGGAGCAGACAAGAACAAGACGGCCGCAAGCAUCGUCUACUAUUUGCAUGUCGCCGCCUUCUUUCUGUAUGAUUAUCCAUGCUGAAUUGAAAGAUGGUUUGGGGAGAAAAGGGGAAUUUUCGAAAACUAGAGAUCUGACAAGGGUUUUAGAGCAAAUUUGAGACAUAUUGAGUGAUCUUUUGCAAAAUAAGCUAGCAUGGAAGAAAUUUACUUUCUCGCCGUGCAUGCGUCAUUCGUCGGCAUGGCACACCAUGGUGGCAAAAACUGUCCGAGAUACAUAGCUUUGGAUUAAGGUGAAUCUAAAAGCUAAUUCUAGGGUGCACUUUUCUACCGUGUUCAAGUUGAUGGAAAGGUGAACUUGCCAAAUUCAUGUAUCCACCAUGCAGUUACCUAUUUCCUAAAUGACCUGCCUUUUUCAGUGACAUUUAGUGAAAAAUUCAAGAGAAAAAAACAGAGAUUGGAUGCACAAGUUUGGGUUCAGAGACAGGGCUCACGGGAAUUUAUUUGUGCACAAGGCUAUGACGACAGGGACAGCAGUGAGAAUCCCUGAACAAUAAAAUACUAAAAUCCAAGGGUUUGACAUGGGGUUCAUCAAGCUCAUGCCUUUGUUUUCUAUGGAUUAGUACCUCAUUGCCCUUGUUUAUUCCUGCCAUUCCUCUGCAUCUUGACCUUUUCCUUUUUGCACAUUCAGAGGUACACGCAUCUUCCUUGGCAUUUGCUAUUGCCUUCCUGGUUCCCUCUUCUACACAUUUUAUUAAUUAUUAUUAAUCAGUGGUUACAACUUGUGAUCAUCUGGAGAUUUGUAUAAUGGAGCAUACAUGUCAAUUUUAUUUCCUUUGAGUUAGAUGGAUAGGUGAUGGUCCAUUGCCUCCAUGGUGUAGCCGUGGUAUUUGUUUUUUUCCAGUGGUGGCCCCUCUAAAUAACUCUCAGUUGGUACUAUAGACUGUAGCACUAAUGAAGACAAUUAAGCACGAAAUUUUCUGCGCCAACAAGGACCUACUACUAGGCAUGAAGAUAACACUAUCCAAAUUCUAUCCUAAAAAAAUCCCAAACAGAAGUCACUAAACAGGACAGGAACAACAUCUCAUAUUUUUAAUCAGCAACCAAUCGUGCAACACCUAUGCUUCUACUUUGCACAAACCCCACAUGCAGUUGCCAACUUUCCAUGUCAUGAAUCCUGGUGAUACUUGAUGAGAUCCAGAGAAAGGCUUGGGUGGCUUCUUCAAGGAUCCCAUCUGUCUUUCUUUUUUUUUGCGGAUAUCCCAUCUGUCUUUCCCAUAAAAUAAAUAAAUCACUUUCCUGUUGAAAGGAAGGAAAACUCAUGAUAGCUCCCAAAGAGUAGAUUCAGGAUUGGAUCAUGGGGCACACAAAAUGGGGGUGCUGAUGCUGUGCCAUUUGCAGGACAGAGGACAAUGAGAAGCAUGGGGGUGGUGGUGAGGCAUCUCCAUCCAUCAAUCACUGUCAAUUCUGUGAGCAUCUACCAAACCUUUCAAGGAUAAGAAUUUGUACUACACAUAUGCUCAUUAAUUAAUGUUGUUGUUUUUUAAGAAGCUUUUCUUCUUCACAAAAACCGGAGAUGUUAUGGAAUAUGGAUUUUUGGUUCAUUAAGACCUUGAGAGGCUGCAGGUAUGUGAUGUAUCAUGUAUAUAUAGCCAUCUAUCAGAUUUUAUCUGUGAAUACAAAGCGUACAUUUGAUAGUUUUGCAUACAUAAUCUAUCUGAAAAAUAUGUUUUAAAAGGAAAUAGCCGCUUUGAUACUUUAACUUUGGACGAUGUAUAUGUAUAUAAACAGUCAUUUCAUAAUCCUUGAACCUUACUCUUGUCUCUUGGUCAAACAGUUGUACGUGUGGAGAGAAAACUUUGAAGUCAAGGGGAGACUAGAAAAAGUUCCAAAGCUUACUCAUUCUGCUCUUGAAUUUAUUUCAGUCGUGUCUUUUCAGUUCUUGGUCAACAGUCAAACCGUGUGGAUGCUGCACCAAGAUAUUUUCCAUCAGUGGACAGAACCUUGAUUGAUGGCGUUCUGUAAUUUGUGAUAAAAUGAUAGUAGCUUCACCGGUUUCAGAAGUGCCGCAUGGAGAUUUACCGUGUGUUAAAAGUUAAUACCUCGUUUCAUAAUUUUUGUCUCAAAUUUGCUCAAAAGUGGAUGUAUCUAUUUCUAAAAAAUGUCUAGAUGAAUGUAAUAUUUCGACAAGAAUUAUGAAACGGAGGAAGUAUCAGUUACACUACACACAAAUAAAUUACGUUUAGUAAUAAGAUGAUGUAACGAGAUGGAAAGUCACCUUGUCAAACAACUUCUGUCAUUUAAAAACAAUAAAAUACAGUAAUAAAAAAUGAUGCACUAUCAAGCAUAAGUUUUCUUUUUUUUUUUGCAAGAAUGCACGAAGCAUAAUAAGUUGCAUGCACACUAACAAAAUUCAAAUGGAAUAGGUGCAUUGAUUUGAUUAGAGGGAAUGGCCCAAGAAUUUCUUUAUCGGUUUUGCUAUUUCUCAUGCGACCGAGAAAUGAUUAUUUCUUAGCCGAUGAUAACAACUUUUGAUUCAAUCAUUGAGAUUCGUUUAAAAUUAAUGUGGAUCCGAUAGAUAAGAAAAUUUUCAUUAGAUGGCUACAAUUGUCGACUGAAAAAUAACUAUUUCUUAGGCAACUGUGAAAUAGACACUUCCUUUCUUUAUUGGCAUCUGCUAAAAUGAACCGUGAUGUCCAUAACUAAUUUAACAAGUUGAUAUGCAAACCAUGGCUUAUUUCUUUUAUGGCAAAAAUGAGACUAUAAUCUAACCACUAAAAUACCAAAAUAAGAACACUACAAAGUACUAGUAGUACUUACCUGAAGCAUAAAUAGGCGUCCACAACAAAGUCCUGCACAAGAGAUCCGACGAGGACUUUUGAAUUUGAGUCAAGAACAAUACCGCGGCGCGCAGAGCUAUUAUUCCUUUGUGCACAUGGCACCACGGUUUGUUGGGCAGAGAAAUAUCUACAACUAUUAUCUGUAUGUAUGUGUAUAAUAAAUACCUGGUAUAAAAAUCUGCAGAAGGAAAUUGGGAGCCAGCUUUUGUGGUCAAAGAUGGCGACCAAGCAGCAGAGGAAGCAUGGAGCAAAGCGGGAUCCAAGGGGAAUUGGUCGGUAGGUUCCUUGGUUGGUCUGCUGCAUCAUGCACGCACGUUCAUGGCACACGUUGACACGUACGAUUGACGACCCAUUCAACAGGCGAUGCUAAUUUGAAAGAACAUCAAAAUGAUAAUUUUCUUUUCUUUACCAUAAUUUACUGAUGAAAAAAAACCCGUCAAGGUUAACCGCAAAAUGCUGGCAACGUUUGGGAGUACUACUUGCUAGCCAGGUCGGUCAGUGUUUGUCCUGUGUGCGGUCAUGCUCCAUGACGGCAUUCUUUGAGACAUGUUGUAUCGGUUUUUGUCUGGUUUUCUGUAAAUUAACUGGACAAUUCUCUUCUUCUUAAUUAGUGGAUUGAGAUCCAAAUAAUUUACUGAUGGAAGAAAGAGGAAGGGGAGGAGUUAUUUUUUUUAAGUGACUAGAACUUCUAUCAACUACUAGCUAAACGUCAAUGCUCACAUUUUUUAAAAACUUCUGAUAAAUAAGAAUUAUGUCAAAAUAUUAUUUUUGAAUUUUUUUUAUCUUGAAAGUCGUUUGCAACCAUUAAGUGGUUGUCUUGUUGGAACGAACUCACCACCAUCAACUAUGCCAUGCCGCGUGAACGAAAUGCGGAUCUAGAAAAUGCAAUUCGGCGUGAAUGAACGAAUUGUUUAAAUAAGAAUUAUUAAAUUAUUGUCAGUUUAGAUGUUUUCUUCAGUUAAAGAGAGCAUUUUUGUUGGGAUUGACACAUUUAUCAGGUAAUAUGCUGAUUGCUGACCAACCAUUUCAUGUUUCUGCUGGUCAUGUAAUCACUAAUCAUCCUAGCUAGUGCCAGUCAAGUAAUAACGCCACAGGGGUAAAGCUGAGACCAAUAAUAAUCCAGAGAUUUUUCUGAGUGUUGCACAUUACCAGACACGUAAAAACAGUCUCCACAGGGUACGCACCGUCUCCACGUUUAGCUGUUGCUCGAUUUGGUGCUAGUUACAUCAAGUCGAUGGGGACAGAAUACAGAGGACGAUCGAUCGAUCGUUGAACAUGCAGAUGCUUAACUAUGCAUGACCAAUGCCAAACGAAGCACGAGACUGUAGAAAGUAGCUAGACCCGUGUCCAUCCAUUCAUUGACAAGCAAGGUCCAGACAGUCGCUCGCACGUUCAGCCGUCAUAGUGCUCAAGGCUGCGAUCACCAGGAGGUCAGCAGUACGCCGGGGCUAGGAAUGGAGUCUUCUUCUUCCCCGCGACGGAGGCGGUGUGCGGGCAGAGGGAGGAGCUGUUGUGCAGCAGGGUCAGCUUGAGCCCCCUGGCAGCCACAAUGUGGCAGCAGCAACCAACCAGGCUUUGUGGAAGCAUAGGAACCGUAUCGUCUUCGAUCACAUUAGUCCCAGUGUGGUGCAGGUGCGAACCGAUGUGAUUGCUGAAGGGAAGGCUUGGAGUCAGGCUGGACUUUUAGGAGUAUCUUUAUUUAGUACACUUCCGAUUAGUGCUGUAGAGUGGAGAGAUUCGGGAUGAUUAUCUUGUAAACUUGGCCUAAGGCCGUUAUCGCUGCGUCGCAGCUUCCUUCUUUAACGGAUGAUACACCAUCUUGAUUCUAAAAAAAAAAGCAACCAACCAGGCCACGUGUCGAAACACAGCUGCAAGCCUUGGCCGCAGUUUAGCUUAAGGGACAUGUAAUCAUCCUAGCUAGUGCCUGUCAAGUAAUAUAUACACACAGGCCAGAGUAGGCCAGAGUACAGCUGAGAUUAAUGAAAAUCCAGGGAUUCGCUUCUUGAGUGCUGCAAUAUCUCCACGUGAAGCUGCCGCUCGAGUUGGUGCUAGUUACAUCAGUCGAUGGGAGAAGAGGACGAUCGAUUGAUCGUUCAACAUGCACAAAGUAGACUCGUCCAUGUCCAUCGACAAGCAAGCAAAGGUUCAGACAGUCGCUCUCACGUUCAGUCCUCACGCGUCCCACCAGGCAAGGAAAUCAUACCUACACCAAAAUGUUUCAUCCCAGGAGGAAACUCUCAUACUUUACAAGCGCCAUGUAUUGGAGUGCUCAAGGUUGCGAUCACCAGGAAUGGCGUCUUCUUAUUCUUCCCGGCGACCGCCGUUGUGCGGGUGGAGGGAGGAGCUGUUGUGCAGCAGGAUCAGCUUGAGCCCCCUGGCAGACUCAACGGGCCUUGGCGUCGGCGUCCUCCGGGAUCCAUGGUGGUGGUGGCUGUUGUAGUAGUUCUCUGCCAGGGCGGCCUCAUCAAGGCGCAACCACGCCGCCCCCCUCGGCGCGCUCGCCGCCCACAUGAACCUGCCGGAGCAAGGGUUCAUCAGCGUCUCCCGGAACUCCUUGGCCCCCUCGCACAACAAGCCCUGAACAAAAACAAAAGGUGCAGUCAGGAAUUUGCACACUGAAUACCUUUGGCAGGACUGCCACUGCAGAGAUUCAGAGGAGAAAGCGAAAACAGAAACAUGAAUGUUACCUCUGCCAUGGCUUUGAUCUUGAGGGCGACGCUGUUGGACAGGAUGACCAUGUUCUUCUGGCUGCCUCUCAGCUUUUGGAAGAGGAGCGCGCAGUCGAGGACACGGUCUUCGGUCCUCGGGGUAACGAUGUCCGUGAAGCUCCUCGGGGAGAAGAGGGCAAACAUUGGGUUGAAGGUACCGGCAGCAGCGGCUUCUCUUCCUUCAUCGUUGCGUUGCAUUUCUGUAGGAGUUGCAGGUGGGGUUGGGGCUACAGGCGACAUCUCGGAUGAGCUCUGCACGUGGAUCCACCAGCUCUCGUUCUCCAUGCAAUCCUCGAUCCAUUGGAGUAUGGAGGUGGCCUUUGAGGAUCUCCUGAACAGGCCUUCCCGCUGUUUCAUGCAAUCGAGCUCCCUGAUCACUGGCAAAGACAGACAAAACAGGGUUUCAGUGGAUGAGAAUAGAACAUCAUGCAGAUGCAGUCUGUUCAGUUAAUUACAAGGUGGAAGAUUAGAUGCAAUAAAAUGUACUCCUACUAUAUAAUAGAAAAUGCAAUGCUGAACACAAGCAUAUUGGAUAUGGAUGUGCAAUGGGGCCUCAUUGAGUAAAGCACAUAUUCAGCUAGUAACAGCAUAAAAGGUGGUCAAAACUUGAAAGUUACAGAAGCACAAUUCUUUAGUUAAUACCAGCAUAGCAUGAGAUGGCUAUUGCAAAUGAGUAUAUAAAGUAAAAAAAAGCAAGCAGUAUUGUUUAGCAGUUGUUAGCAGGUCGAGAGGAUGAAAUGAGUAUAAUCAUUCAGCAAAAACAAGUCUCACUGAAGUAUGGAAAAAAUGAUAUAUGCAGCAACAGAAACAUACUGCACACUUUGUUUAGAUCAUACAUGCAAGACUAAUACUCCCUCCAUCCCAUAUUAAGUGACUCAAAUUUGUCCAAAUAUGGAUGUAUCUAUAUUCAAAAAGUGUCUAGAUACACGUAAUAGAAUGUCACUUAAUAUGGGACGGAGGGAGUACUAUUCUUCUCAACUUACCAAUCCUUGGUAUGAUGAGAUGAGUUCCUUUUAUGCCUCUUAACAGCAUUAUAGACUUCCUUGAUUCAUCAUCAAGAACACAAUAGGUAUCAGCCACCAUGGUCCAGACUUUCAUCCCUUCUCCAAUACUAUCAGAUUCUUGGUUCUUGUGCUGUUCACCAACGAAAUGGCCUCAUUUUAGAAUCCAUGACAAAAGUAAAAGACGUAGAAAUGAAAAGUCUAAAAAUAAUCUUUACGGUUACUUACUGGAAGACUGUUCAGUUCAUCUUCCAACCUGAAUGACACGUCAGCUGCUCUAGCAUUAGGUCUCGAGGGAGAAUUUGACACCAGAGUUUGGAAGGGGAACCUCUCUACAACCCGUUUCUUUGUGAUGACACUUUCAAUUCGUGCACGGUUUUCAGACAUAGGAGUAUCUCUUGUUUUCUGAGCUACAGAAGAUACUGGUGUAGAGUUCUCCUUGUCGGAGUAGAAUACCUCUUGAUCUUGGUCUACAUCCACCGGAAAUAGGUUCUUUGGAAGACAUCUUCUCGCUUUCAUACCUCCUGUUGACAUAGGUGUCAAGUUCUCCUUAUCUGAAUAGAAAGCCUCAUCAUCUACUGUGUGGAAACCUUUGGAUUUUGAUGAUAGACCAUUGCAUUCCUGUUUAUUGACGCUCCUGUUUGGAGGGUAUUCUGCUGACAUUGAACUAUCCAUCCUCGAGCCAAGAACCCUCCUACCGAUGGACUUGAGACCUCUGGAGGCAGGUGUCACAUUUUCCUUGUCUGAAGAGAUGUCUCCUUGUCUCACAGGGGAGAUAGCAUCAUACUCUGAUGAAAGUUCACCGCAUUCCCGUUUAUGGACGCUGAUGUUUGAAGUGUAUUCUGCUAACACCAAACUGUCCAUCCUUGAGCCAAGAGCCUUUCCAGCAAUGGGCUUGCGACCCCUGGAGGCAGGUGUCACAUUCUCAUCUGGAAAAAGGUCUCCUUGUCUCACAGGGGAGAUAGCAGCAUCAUACUUUCCAGAACCCAGCACUGAGUUUUCAUUGUAUGGAAUGAUGUCAUUUUCAAAAUCUAGAUGCGACAUGGGCAUAAACUCUGUUUCAACUGAAAUUGAUGGGAUAACAUUUUCAGAUAUAAGUUCAUUUGACUUCAUCUGCUUCCCAAUGUUCAGCAUGGAGUUUUCACUAUCUGAAAAGGUGUCAUGUUCCAAACUCAGAGGGGAAAUGGAGUCCAACAACUCUUGGGAUCUGUUAGGCUUCAACAGUAGCUGACUCCUCUCCAUUAUUAUGUUGCCCGAAACAAGGGGAGUGGUGUUCUCCUUGUCCAGUAGGUUGCUCUGUUCAUUUUCUUCAGUUCCUUUGAUAUCCAAAUUGUCAAAUAGACUAUCAUAAAUUAUGCCUUCAAGAUCGCAGUCCUGAGGACACACGGCAAUCUUAUUUUGGGCCAUUUUAUCCUUGUUUGGGAUACUUCCAUCCAGUUUAAGAUGGGAGAAACCAUCAUGCUUCAUGUCUUUGUGCUUAUUUGUAUUUCCAUCAACUCUGUCUUGGGUGAAAGAAUUUUCUGACACAUGCUCAUGUGAUUCCAGUCGUACAUCCAGCUGUGGUCCUUUGCCUGCGAAGAUCUCAUCUUUGAAAAGCAAAGCAGAAACGUAAUUCAUUGGUUCUGACCUCAUCUGUAGUUUUGCAUCAACUGAACCUUGUGGGACAGAAUUUUCAGAGAAAAUGCCAUGCUGGUUUGUCUCCUUGACAAAACUUAGCAUGGAGUUUUCCUUAUCCAAAUGCUCAGAUUUCAGAGGGUUCGGCACUUGAUUCUCCUCCAUGGUAAUGUUGUCCAAGACAUGGGAGUUCAUGUGCUCUUUUUCUGGUGCAAACAUGUUUUCUUUUUCUUCAGCUUCUUUGACAUCAGAAUUGUCAAACAAAACCAUGCAGGCUGCACAUCCUUUCCCACAGUUUUGAGAGCACAAAAGAUUCUCAUUCUGGGCUUCUUUCUGAUAGCUGUUGCUCAAAGUGCUGUUUUUCCUUCCUGUGUAAAUACGGAGAGAUUUGACUGACUUUAACUUGGCCCUCCGGGAAAUGGUGCCUGAAGCAUCCUGUUUGUCUGAUUGGACUGUUGUUCCAGCAUUUGCAAUUGUAGCGGGCAAUGACGGUAUUAUUGAGGAGCAAACAGAUUGUGUGACUGAAUUGUCACUAAACAUCAGUUCCUCUAUGACCCUCUCUCUGUUCUCAUCAAAUUGUGUGAGUGAAGAUUCUUCCAGAUAAAAAGAAUGGGCGAACCCAGGCAAUGGUGGAGCUGAGGGGAUGACUUUGGGAGGAUAUUCAAUUUGUUCAGACACUACUUGAUGGCCUGUCUCCUGUGGAUUAAAUUUUUGAAGUUAGCAAUGCAUGCAAGGACUAAAAUUCUAAAAUUGUAAGGGAAAAAAAAAUCAAGCAGUAGAACUCACAUCAACAUGUGGAAUCCUCAAAAGAACAAUUAAACAACACAAGAAGAUAUUAGUGAAAACAAAAUCUAUAUACAAACAUGAACUAGUCAUGCAAGAAAAUCAGGGUAUGGAAAGAGUUUACAAAAUCCAAAGUGGAUAGAUACAACUUGUCAAAGUUUUAUAUCAAGAAAUUUAUGAUAAAUACCAGCCAAACAACAAGUAUCGUUAACCAAGGAAAGUAACACAUGAUCAAUUGUUAGUUGAUGUCAGUUCUGUCAUGCAUUCAACACAAAAUACAUGGCACUCAGACAAACAGACAAGCAAUUCAAACUUGCGCAAAAAAUCUGGCAUAACUUGAGAACCAUAUAUCCCGACAAUACAUCUGCCAUAAGAAAAUCAUUUGGCAAUGUAAGCAAUUGAAGAAUAUGAGAUUAGUGGGAAAAUUUAACUAAUGUACAAGUGACCUAAAUGGCACUGAGCAAAUUAUAUUUAUCUAAGUAAUUCAAGCCUGAUAAGUAAUACAUAGGUGUGGAUGUCAUGGGAGUAACUUGCGCAGAGGCCCAACACAUUCAGGCUCGUUCAGUGUCAACUUCCAUUAGAAAGUACAACAGGACAAAUACUAAGACUUAGUACUAGGUAAAUUACAGGAACACAAUAGGUCACAUAAAAGGUUGCCAACUAGUCAUAAUUUGUAAGCAUCUUUACAUUACCACUGGAAGCAGUGGAAGCUUACUAAAACUAGGCACCAGGCAGAAUUCCAGAAAGACACGGCAACAUCAAAACUUUCUAAUCAGUCAUCAUCAUUUGUAAGCAACUUGGUGCUUUCAGUAAAGAGAAAUGCAUCAUUAAUCCGAUUACUGAGUAAUUCAAUAUUCACUAUCAGAGUUGGAUCGUAAAUUUGAGUUCAAUGCAUUUCACAAAGCAAUUAAGGAAAGUGGAUCAUAAAAGUAAAAAAUGGAUGAACUACAAACUAAUUGAAUAUCAAUGAUUGUAAAUAUUACUAUUCCAAAUAAAUCAAACAUUUUAACAUAAUGCAUUUUAUGAUUUUGGCAGAACAGAAGCAAAGUCAGUGGGCAAGCAAUCUGAACUAUUUGGCAGAACAGAGGCAAAGUCCGUGGGCAAGCAAUCUGAACUAAAGGACACAAUUAAUUGGUACCCAUACCAAAUCCGACGACACGAAAUGCAUCUAAAGUUACAUAGAAGUUUUCAGUAUUAGCUUGUUGGAAUCAAACCUGGUGAUUUUCCAUGUCCAUUGGCUCCGUCUGCGCAGGCACCAACUCCUUGCUUGCCUCCUGUGCAUUUCAUCAAACGCUUAGAACACAAUCAAAGUGGUUACAGAUUCUGCACCGAGUGUCAGAAGGAGUUGUCUACCUGAUGAGCACAGAACUCCUCCUUAUCCUCCUCAAUAAGUGGUGGCAGCAGAUCGUCCAUCUCAAGUGCCUCGUGGAGCGAAAGCCAGUGAAGCCGGUACUCCCUCUUGGAGCCCCCAAGCUGCAGCACGUCACCGACCGCCAGCUCCACCGGCGUGUUCGUCGGGAUCCUUUGACCCGAGACCCAGGUCCCGUGCACUGGAUCAAAUCAAAGCCCAACCAUGGGUUGACGCUAUGUUAGCUAGUAGCAUUCUGCACUGAUUUGAUCAAAUUGCAAACAUAUUCACUAUCACCGCAGGUCCUUCCGAAGAUGAUAAGGACACGAGGUGGAGCUAAAUUCUCACAACGUUGACGGUUCGACAAGCAGAUCCGAAUGAAUCGAUCAGAUGAACUCCCCCCAAAGUAUCCCCAACAAAUAUCUCAGUCUACACGAAUCGAUUCACCCAAACAAAAACCUUAAGGUUCCUGUAACUGUAAAUCCAGGCAGGCGCAGAGAUCGCGAAGCACGGCAGGCGCUCGCAGAGGGUGGGGGGAGUGGAGAGGGAGGCGCGAUCUGAGUACCGGAGGAGAGGUCGGUGACGGUGAUCCGCCGCUGGCGGCGGCGGCAGCGGACUUCGAGGUGACGGCGGCUGACGCUGGGGUGGUCGACGAGGACGUGGCAGUCGGGGUGCCGCCCGAACAGCACCGGCGGGUCCUCGCCCUCCUCCCGAUCCCCACCCCGGCCGCGCCGCGCCUCCUCCUCCGGCGGCGGCGCGUUGAGGAAGAUGUGCUUCAGCACGACGCCGCCCUUGGCCACCGCGAACGCCGCGAUCGGAGGAGCCGCCCCCGCCUCCACUUCCGCCACCGCCAUGCCUGCCCGUCGGGUGCCACGAGGGGGGAGGGGAGGAAAGGAUGCUGACGCUGACGCCUCUCUCGCUUGCUGUGUGAGAAACGUUGCUGUGGAAUCGGGGGAAUUCGAAAUGCGGAGUAGGAGGAGCCGGGGGCCGAUUUGAGGAGGAGCCGGGGGAUCGCAACGGCUAGAAUUUUAUCUCCAUUUUUUUGUUCCUUUGAGAGAAUUGGAAAGACGCGUCUGUUCCGCGCUCCUUACCGGGCCGAAUGACCGGUGGGCCAACCAAGAGCCUGUGAGUGACUACUGGGCCGAAUGACAGGUGGGCCAAGCAAGAUCCUGUGAAUGCCCGGUGGGCCGAAUGACCGGCUAUAAUCAAUCUUGAUUUUUUUCAAUCUAAACAGCGAAGCAAGAGACAAGCUGAAACCCAAAAAAAAAGCAAGGGACAAGCUUUUUUGGUUACAACGGUUUUUGUCCGCAGUUCAUCUUGUAGCGGCCACGGGGGCCCCUCAAUCUCUCACUCGCGUGAGCAUGGCGGCGGCGGCGCAGCAGCCGCGGGGCGUGGCGCGGCGGUGAGGGUCUGAGGGAGAAGCUGCUGCUCACGGAGGAGGAGCGGAAAUCCCGGCUGGUGUCUUCUCGAUUUCCUCCCCCGCCUCCGCCUCGGCGCACCGGUCGGCGACGCCGGUGGGCAAGGACCGCGAGGUGAGUGGGGCAAGGAAGGGAUAGACCUUCUACAUGUUCUGCUUAGUUUUUUUUAUUACCGAUUCACCGUUCUUUUUUGUUCCUUUUGUGGAAUUGUAAUUUCAAGUAGGAAUUCAUCACCAGAUGAUAAUCAUGCGUUACAUCAGCAAGGUUCUAAUGUGAGGUGGAAUUUUCUCGUUAGUAACCUAGGUCCUAGAUCAUGGUGGUGUGUGAACCGGUGUAUCCAAUGUUUUGUUUAGAGGGAGACAUGUGUAGUGCCGGGAAUCACGUUCCCACCUCCCUUUUCCUGGGGUUAUUAGGGGCACCAACUCCACUAUUGCUUGAUUCGCACUCGGCCGGCCGGCGAUGAGAAGUCAAGCUUUGCUGCCGCCCUUUGUUUGUCCCUUGUCAGAGGACUAUCGUGUGAUUUAGGAGAUCAUAAUGUCAUUCUCUAAGUAGGACCAUUUGUUGAAAUUAAACCAUACAUGAGGUCAUCCGUCUUAAUAAUAAUAAUGUUGGCAUGUAUGCUGUCUCUUUCCCAAUUUUAAAAUCUUAAUAUGUCGAUGACACCUCCGAAUGUAAUUUGCUUCUCCUAUCGAUUGUCAAUGUUACAUAAUUAUGUGAUUGUGCAGUACUCUUCCAGUCUUCCUAAGACAAAGAAAGCACAUUUCUGUCGUGGCGCUCUGCUGGCCGGUUGCAGGAUCCGGAAGUCAAGCUUGCUGCCGCUCUCUGUUGUCCUUUUAUCAAAAACAGUAGUGUGAUUUAGGAGAUCCUAAUGCCGUCCUCUCGUUGAAAUUAAGUUCUGCUGUCUCUUUCUAUAUAUUCUUUCUGGAAAUUGUGUGAGUAGUCACUGCAGAGUACAGGUGCCGUGUUUGAUCAGUUUUUCUGGUUAGUUAUGCAAUUGAAUAAGAAAAUUAUAUCCGCUGUGAAAAUGAUUUUCCAUGGAUUCAGACUAAUGUAUGGUGGUAGUUGUGAGCUAGGUAGCUUUUUUCAGAUGUAGACAUUUGCCAUGCCUAUAAAUAGAGGGUGUAGUUAAGCAGCUAGUUACUUGUAGCUAUGGUCAUUAUACAACCAAAUCACCCAGGAUUUUAAUGCUCUCUUUGCACUUCAGAUGACAUGAUCAUGCUGUUUUCGGGGGAUCAUACAUGUUUGUGCAACCACUGAACGCUCGCAAGAUGAUGGUGUACAUGAAGUCAAGGUACAUGAAUCUCUACUAAGUUUUUUAGUUCUGUAAACAGUCCUCAUGUAUAGUUAGAGUUUUGAGAAUUUGAUGUAAGUGUCUUAGCUAGCUUCUUUGAGGACCUCCGCGGUGCUUGUUAGUUGACUCAAAUGGCAACACCAACAGGAUGUCAGGAUGACUCCCACAAACAACUUCCACCUUUCCCCACUUCUUCUCACUCCCUGCUGUAGUAUGACUAUUGGAUGCCUGGAAGGUGGGAAAAGUAUAUCCGAGAUAAUAAAUUAAAUACCGAAAUUAAUCCUAGUCACAAUUGGGAUGGAUCUAAAGGUAUGUGUAAUUAUUUUCCACCAUAUGCAUAACAAAUUAGAUCCAUAUUCGAGUGUAGUUUCUAGCACUUGGUUCAGUAGUUUAGGCAGCAGGUUGUGAAUCAAAAGCAGAUCAGAUAGCAAAACUAAUUAGCUCCCACAUGAUUGCAGGACUCUAGAAAAUCCAGAUAUCUCAAAUUUAAUCAGAUUUGUAAAGACUAUGGUUAUAGUACUCAAUUUGCAGUGGCUGAAAUUUCACUUCUAUUGAAUUGAAUCUUUCUUGCUUGCAGAAGGACAGUAAGCAAGUAUUGAGGGGAGUGAAGUAGAAUCCUUCAGGUAGUUUUCAUGACACAAAUGAAUGCUUGCUGACAUUGACUAUUGGAUAUCUAAAAAUGCCCUUAUUUUUGUGUUUGCAUAUAAUUAAGAUCUUCAACAAAGACAGCUUCCAGCCCAGCCAUGAGGGUUACUUCUAUCAUGCAGUUUAUCUUGGGGCUCAUGGUUUGCAAUGGACAUGCUGUCAUUUGUGACUCCUUAUAUGGAAAUGAGACAGACCGGUUGUCACUGCUUGAAUUUAAGAAUGCGAUCAGCCUCGAUCCAAAGCAAUCCUUGAUGUCUUGGAAUGAUAGCAUCCACUUUUGCAAUUGGGAAGGUGUUCAUUGCAGGAUAAAGAAUCCACUCCGUGUCAUUUCUCUUGACCUUGCAAAUCGAGGUUUAGUAGGGCAAAUCUCUCCUUCACUUGGAAAUCUAACACUCCUAAAACAUCUAUUCCUAUCGACAAAUAGGUUUACUGGGACAAUUCCUCCAGCCCUUGGUCACUUGCAUCGCCUCCAAAACCUAUACUUGAGCAAUAACACACUACAAGGAACGAUACCUAGUCUUGCAAACUGUUCCAACCUCAAGGCCCUAUGGCUGGAUAGAAAUCAACUAGUUGGGCAAAUUCCUACAGAUUUGCCUCCUUUCCUGGAAAAGCUGCAACUUUCAGUAAACAAUCUUACUGGAACCAUCCCUGCUUCUCUUGCCAAUAUCACAUCGCUAAACCAGUUUAACUUUGCUCUUAAUAGUAUCGAGGGCAACAUCCCAAAUGAGCUUAGAAAGUUACCUGCGCUUCAUAUUUUGAAUGCGGGUGGUAACCAGUUGACAGGCACGUUUCCACAAGCCAUCUUGAACCUUUCUACUCUCGUUAGCCUUAACCUUGGUCAGAAUCGUUUAAGUGGUGAGGUACCGUCAAAUCUUGGUAACUCUCUACCCAAUCUCCAGGCAUUCGCUUUAGCCAACAACUUCUUUCACGGGGAAAUCCCAUCUUCACUGAUAAACGCAUCUGAGCUAAGCAAAUUUGAUAUAUCAAGUAAUAAUUUCACGGGAUUGAUUCUUAGAUCCAUUGGCAGACUUUCCAAACUCACGUGGUUAAAUCUUGAGUUCAAUAAACUCCAAGCACGCUCCAAGGAAGACUGGGAGUUUAUGAGUAGCUUAGCCAAUUGUACCAAGCUAAAUGCCUUCUCAGUAGAGGGGAAUCAUCUAGAAGGCGAGGUACCAACUUCAUUAUCUAACCUUUCCAUUCAGCUUCAAAAUCUAUAUUUAGGACGAAAUCAAUUGACAGGGGGUUUCCCUUCUGGCAUAGCAAACCUUCCCAACUUGAUUGUUCUAGGAAUGAAUUCUAAUCGAUUUACAGGUAACAUUCCACAAUGGCUAGGAACUCUUAAAAGUUUGCAAAUACUAGGCUUAGCUAGCAACACAUUUACCGGGUUUAUUCCAUCCUCCCUUUCCAAUUUAUCUCAGUUGACAUAUCUUCUUCUAGACUCGAACCAAUUUGUUGGCAGUAUACCACCAAGCUUCAGAAACCUUCAAGGCCUUUCAAUAUUGAACAUUUCCAACAACAAUCUGAGUGGUAGGGUACCAAAGGAGAUCUUUAGCAUUCCGACACUAAUGCAAAUUUAUUUAUCUUUUAACAACAUCGAUGGAGAACUUCCUACCGACAUCGCCAAUGCCAAACAACUCACAAAUCUAGAACUGUCAUCAAAUAGGCUAUCUGGAGUUGUUCCUAGCACUUUGGGCAAUUGUGCAAGUUUGCAAGAUAUCAAGUUGGACUGGAAUAAUUUCAGUGGAAGCAUCCCCAUUUCAAUAAGCAAAAUAAGCAGCCUACAAAUUCUCAGUGUUUCCCACAAUAACAUAACUGGGUCAAUUCCAGUGUCCCUUGGCAACCUACAAUAUCUUGAGCAGCUAGAUUUGUCAUUCAACCAUCUUGAGGGGGAGGUCCCAACAAAAGGAAUCUUCAUGAAUGUAACUGCAGUCCAGAUUGAUGGAAAUCAGGGUCUUUGUGGUGGGACUCUGGAGUUACAUUUAAUGGCAUGUUCUGCUACGCCUUCGAAUUCAACAAAGCACAAGCUGUUCUUGGUACUCAAAGUGGUAAUCCCAGUAGCUUGCAUGGUGUCACUUGUUAUGAUCAUACUUGUGUUAUUGUUUUGGAGAAGGAAACAUAAGAGAGAAACUAUGUCUUUGCCAUCAUUUGGUGGAUCAUUUGGUAGACAAUUUCCCAAAGUUUCUUUCAUUGAUCUAGAUAGAGCAACAGAGGGGUUCUCAACGUCCAACAUAAUUGGCAGAGGGAUACACGGUUCUGUGUAUCAAGGGAAACUAUUUGAAGAUGGAAAUGAUGUUGCCAUAAAAGUCUUCAACCUGGAGACAAGGGGAGCACAAAAGAGCUUCAUUGCAGAAUGUAAUGCCUUAAGCAAUGUGCGGCACCGUAAUCUACUCCCUAUACUAACCGCAUGCUCGAGCAUUGAUUCUAAUGGGAAUGAUUUCAAAGCUCUAGUCUAUGAGUUCAUGCCUCGAGGAGACUUACAUAGACUACUAUACUCAACUCAAGACUAUGAAGGCUCUGCAGAUUUGAUACAUAUUACACUGGCUCAAAGGCUAAGCAUUGUUGUGGAUGUGGCAGAUGCAUUGGAGUACCUACACCAUAACAACCAAGGAACUAUUGUUCAUUGUGAUAUGAAGCCUAGCAACAUUCUUUUGGAUGACAACAUGACAGCUCAUGUUGGAGACUUCGGUCUUGCAAGGUUCAAAGUUGAUUCCGGGGUAUCAUCUUCUGAUGAUCCAUACUCAACUUCUUUGAUUGCAAUAAAGGGAACGAUUGGAUAUGUUGCUCCAGGUAGUCCCAAUUUUGUUCUUCUGGUGUCCUCCUCUUUAAAUUGAGAAUAUUACUUCUUUUUAUACCAACAUUGGGAUUAAGAUGUCUUGCAUGUGAACUGCAGAGUGUGCAACAGGCGGCCAUGUUUCAACUGCUAGCGAUGUCUAUAGCUUUGGAAUUGUCCUCCUCGAAAUAUUCUUACGGAAGAGGCCAACCGACGAUAUGUUCAAAGAUGGACUAGACAUUGCAAAAUUUGUCGAAAUGAAUUUUCCUGAAAGCAUGUCGCAAAUUGUUGAACCUGAAUUACUCCAAGAUCAACCUGAGUUUACUAAAGGAAGUCCAGUGGUCACAAAGGAAAAUGACCUGGGCUCUUUAAUUUCAGUGCUAAGAAUUGGGCUUUGCUGCACCAAGCUGUCACCAAAUGAGCGCCCCAACAUGCAGGAAGUGGCUUCAAAGCUGCAUGGAAUUAAGGAGGCUUAUCUCAGAGGGUACUAAGGUAGUAGUAAUCACCAGUUUUAGUGUAUGGUGCCGUGCUGUGGUUUUUAUCUGCCAUUCUUUUCCAAAUAAGAACACCACUCCUCUUACUGUUGUAAUUGUUCUAGAGAUUUCUGGCAGCUACGUUGCGAGCUCCGAACUAACCAGAUGUUUUUCGUGCAGAUUGCUGGCUGUCAUGCUCUCAAAACGAAAGCUGGCAGCAUAUCACAACCUCUUACGGAUUAUUGGAAGCCGAUACUGCAAUCUUCUUGGAGUAUGCAUUGGGCAAUGUGCUCUGCUUGUGCUGUUCCUCAAGAUAGAGCUUCUUCCUUGAUGAUGGCCAUGCAUGCUGUUUAGGUGAUGGCUCUGUUUAGUUUGGGAUAACCUCUUGGAGUCUUGGUGAACUUCUUUUUGAAGGAACCAGCCAUCCUUUAUAAGCUUGAAUCAAGGUUACAUCCAUGGCUUGCUGCUAUUACGAUGAUGCCUUUGUUUGACUCUUAUUGAUGUCUCCUUGAUUUCCUUUUAGAUUAAGUCUGUUGUACGAACAGUUAACUGUAAACUGAAGUUUUUUGAAAGAUCUCCUUGGCUUAUACAUUCCCUGGAUACUCCAGUUUGGAGUUGACUUGUAAAUGUCUGAUGCUGGAAAACCAAAAAUGCUGAUUUUUGCUGCAGAAGUGAAUGGGCCGCAUGAGGCGAUUCAUAGUUUGUUUUAAGGCCGGACUUGCCAAGUUCUGCAGAGGGAGUUAAGCUUAGGAGUCGUCUUCCUCUGCUUAGUAGGAGUAUAUUACAAAAUCAUUUCAAGCGAGUUUUCCACAAUAUUUAUGAAUUUCCAGACAUAUUAUCAUCAUUAAAAUUUCCCAUAAAAAAACAGAUCAGAUGUUUUACUUUUUUAUCUUUUAAAUUUUCCAGAUUUAUAUUUCUUGUUUUUAUGCUGACUACGCUGUCACCGCCAUUCAUACUGAUCAUCAUAAGUAUGUAUGGUACAGAAAGUUAAAAGAUCGAGGGCCUCUUUGAUUUGCAAGGUUUCGGAAAUAUAGAAAUAGGAAAAACGCAUGAAUACAAUAGGAAUGCAUGUGCAAGAUCAAGGAUUGGAAAACAUUAAAAUUUUAUAGACUUGUGUUUGAUUUGCGGGAACAUGAGAAACAUGGAAAUCCUAACAAGCAUGGUCAAAUUAAAAGUUAAAUCGGAAGCAAAAGUAAAGUUACAAUGUUAUUAUGGCAUCUUCAAUAGUACUAAUAUUUUAUCUCUUUCUUUUUCUUUUUUAUUCUCUACUCUUACCCAAUGGACCCACAUGUCAAUCUUUAUUUAUUCUUGGUACCCGUGCAUAAGUUGUUACUUCUACAAGUGACUGGUACUAUCUUUUUUAUCUAUCUAUCCUCCACGUAGGACCAGUACCUGCUUAAUACCUCCUGUUGGAGACACCCUAAGUACCUUGCCUCGUUCUUUGUGCAAAGGAAUUGAAAAGUAGAGGUUCAAGUGGAUCAUUGAAAUCCUACGCUUUUCCUUUAAAAUUGAGCACGAAGGAAGAGUUCGGGCUUCUUUGGUUCACAGGAAUUAAAAAAUAUAGGAAUAUGAAAAAUGUAGGAUUAGAAUGCCAUGACAUGUUGAAUACUAUAGG